rnacentral:lncRNA from 1 species
UUAGAUGUGACAUCCUUAAAAAACAUGUGAAUUAGACAAACUGCUUUUUCUAGGCCAAUGAUUCUGAUUCUUUUUUGAGCAGAGUUCCCCCGAGAUUUGCGGCAUCAAAGGUGGCUUUCCCAAUUACAACUUCAUUGCAUUAGAGAAGUACACCUAGCACGUACGUUACAUUACAUUACGGUGAUCUCCAGGUUCAGUCAGCGGUCCAGGUUCAGUCAGCGGUCUUCUUGUAGGUAUACCACCGUGCGACGAGCAGGUACGCGCCGAAGUUGCCGAUGCAGAGCAUGGCGAGCAGCCAGAAAAAGUAGUCCAGAUGGCCGUCGUUGAUAUCGUCGGGGAUCCACGAGCACCACGUCGCGCGCACCACGACGGCCACGAGCGCCGAGCUCGCGUAGUUGCCCAGCGCAAACGCCGCGCUGGAGAGCCCCGAGCAGACGCUCCGCAUGGCGUCCGGCGCCUGGUCAUAGAAGAACUCCAUCUGCCCGAUGAACGUGAACACCUCUGCGGCACCCACCACCACGUACUGCGGCACCUGCCAGAAGAUCGACAUCGGCACGUACCUCGCGCCGUCCUCGCCGGUGUAGGUUCCGUGGCGCGCGACGACGCGGCGCCGCGCCACCUCGAGCGUGCCGGCGGCGAGCAUGGCAACAGUGAGAAUGACGAAGCCCACACCCAUGCGCGCCAGCUGCGUGAACCCGCAGCGGUGGCCCGUGAGGCGGCGCGCGAGCGGCACGACGGCGUGGUCUUAGAGCGGCACCCAGAGCAUGACGCUGAGGGUGUCGAAGACGGUGAGCACGGCGGGGGGCACGCGGAAGCUGCCGACGCGCGGGUCCAGCGUGUCACCCUGGAGGAUGAAGGUGGUGGUCAUCUGCGUGUAGGCGGCCGCGAAGAUGAUGCCGCACGCCCACACCGGCAGCAGUCGGAGCACGCACUUGAGCUCCUCCACCUGCGUCACGGUGCACAGCCGCCACGGGCUCGCCGGCCGCGCCUUGUCGCCCGCCGUCUCCACCGCCGCCUUGUCCAAGAACCUGAGUGAUCGACAGCAACCGAGCAGUGCAACAGAUUAAUAAGAUUUUACUUCCAAAAAUCCACCAACAUCACUUUCAGUUUACAUAUGUCACAUUGUUAUUUCAAUUUCAUAAAAAUAUUUGACAUUUCACCAGUAGCACUUUCAGUUUAGAUAUUCACACAUCACAAAAAUCCUAUUUCAAUUCUUUCAAAAACAUAUUCACAAACUGGUUUCAAUUAUUUGAAACAUCCACUUAAAUUAUUUCAAACCAUACAUUUCAGUUAUUUGAAAAACAUAUUUCAAUAGGAUCAAUUUCAUAUUUUUCGCAAUUAUUCAGUUCAUCCAUUUCAAUUAUUUCAGAACAUAUUUCAGUUUUUCAAAAAAAAGGGAUUUCACUUAUUUCGGGUAAGACUCCACUACUUAAAAAAAAGUGAGUUCAUCCCUUUCGGUAAUUUCAUAACAUAUUUCACUUUUCCAAACUUACAAAAAAAUCACUCUUCUGAAACAUAUCAAUCUCACUAAAACCUUCACUCCUUCUCGAAUACACUCAUUGGUCCUAUUCUAAGCAGUUCCCCACACUAGAAUAAAUUUAGUGAAAUAUGUGGAUUGAAAUGUUGAAAUUUGAACAUGUUUGAAUUGUAUCCAAAUUAAUCUUACUUGAAAUGUCUUGACGCUAGGAGUUGAAAUAUACAUAAAGUUUCAAAAAUGUAAUUGUGGUUUAAAAUAUCUGAAUGGUUUAAAUUAGCAAAGAUGAAAUAAUGUCUUUGUGGGUUGUAGACUAGAACCGAUUCUAGCUUUUUUUUUCCUCGGCAUGAGCAUGCUACAAUGACUUACCAUGAGGUUUGUUGCUCUUAGAUUUUGUGGCGUCAAGUUUUGAUCGACAAUCGACAUUGACCAUGCCCUACUAGCACCCUGUAAAUCUACUUUUGUGUCAAUUGCUAUUCUUUAAUUAUCAAAUUUUGUCUAGGUCCAAUUCAAUUAUGUGGUCGGCACAAACGAGGUAGUAAAGGGAUGGAGACAUGGUAGGGGUGGUGGCAUGGAUUGGGAGGGGGCGCGGAGCUGUCCGCGUCGGGUGGCAAAAUGGUGGUUAGGCCCCUGGCAGUGGGCCUCUUGACAACAAGGGGUGAAGGGGGUCGACGGCGAUGAGGGAAGGAAAGUGACUGAAACUAGAAAACAAAAACAUCACCUAAAAGAAUAGUCAGUCUUUUUUCCGUUGAAGCAACUUCCUUGGACUUUUGCUGCAUUAUUGUGGUUAUCGAUUCAACAAAAGAUAUGAGUGUGAUGAUUCGGUGUGUGAACAGUAAAAUCAAAUAAAAUACUCGCAGCGGCAAUUAAUGUGGAUCGAAGGAAGAAGUAAAAAAGAUCUGAUAUUUUUUUGGCAUCAAAGAUACUCAAAUGUGUGAUGUGGGUGCUAAAAUUCAUGGUGUUUGGACAUUCGAAGAGGUCAGGGCACACUCAUGCAGGAGCGUGACGUUGGUCAGGGUCUCCACGUCACACUUCCUGGAAGUGGCGAGCAUCUUGUGAAUUCACAAGAAUAAGAAUGUGGCUAACUCUUAUCUAGACGAGACUUAACUAUAUCUCAUCUAACUCCUACACUAUUUGAUUUUACGCGGAGAUUCAUAUGAAUUUUUAUUUUUUAUUUCACUAAUCAGAUGAUGUAACAGUUAGAUGAUACUUUGGUAAUUCUCAUCAGCAAAUCUGCACAAACAAGAUGCUCAGAUUUACUAUGGGUUGAAUUUUAACAAAAGAUAAUGUUGGGCAGCUACUGUGAAGAGUGGAUGACACCGAGAUUAGGUUUGGUCCAGGUUGGCUGAUUAGCUUGCUCAAUCAGUCACACAGCAUGNNNNNNNNNNNNNNNNNNNNNNNNNNNNNNNNNNNNNNNNNNNNNNNNNNNNNNNNNNNNNNNNNNNNNNNNNNNNNNNNNNNNNNNNNNNNNNNNNNNNNNNNNNNNNNNNNNNNNNNNNNNNNNNNNNNNNNNNNNNNNNNNNNNNNNNNNNNNNNNNNNNNNNNNNNNNNNNNNNNNNNNNNNNNNNNNNNNNNNNNNNNNNNNNNNNNNNNNNNNNNNNNNNNNNNNNNNNNNNNNNNNNNNNNNNNNNNNNNNNNNNNNNNNNNNNNNNNNNNNNNNNNNNNNNNNNNNNNNNNNNNNNNNNNNNNNNNNNNNNNNNNNNNNNNNNNNNNNNNNNNNNNNNNNNNNNNNNNNNNNNNNNNNNNNNNNNNNNNNNNNNNNNNNNNNNNNNNNNNNNNNNNNNNNNNNNNNNNNNNNNNNNNNAUGGACAGGUAGAACCAGUUGAAGAAGGAGCUCUGCCGCCGGCGCUCCUCCUCGUCGGACUCGGCGUCGAACUGGUCGGCCCCGAACGACGACAGGACCGGCUGCAGCGCGCCGCCCAGCGCCACCAGGUACAGCCCCGCGUAGAACACCGCGCUCGCCGCCACGACGCCGUACCCCGCGACGGAGAUGAAGAGGAAGAGGGUGAUGGUCCAGUACCUGCCGAGGAAAGAGUCGGCGAGGAAGCCGGCCGCGAGCGGCGUGAUGGAGGCGGUGCCCUGCCAGUUGGUGACGCUGUUCGCCGCGGCCUUGCUGCCGGAGUGCAGCUGGACCUUGAGGAAGUUCACCAGGUUCGUCGACACGCCGUAGUAAGCGCUGUACUGGAGGCAGUUGUUCACUGCACACCACGCGCGCGUGAAUGCAUGAGCAGCAUAUUUAGCGUGGAUCUAGGUGGAUCAUAGCGACAAGAAGAAAGUGGUGCAAGUUUUACCGAGGAUGAAAACGUAGCCCCACGAACUCCGGCGAUCCCUCGUGGACGUCCGGCGAUCGGGGUCACCCUGCAGGCCUUUUGAUUCGAAACGGAACCAGCUGAAGCAAAAGAGAGGAGGAACAUUAGCCUGAAUGAGGGUCGAACCUGUACACGCUCCCAGGCGUGAGACCUCUUCUUCUGUCCUUCUUUGGUCUCCGCCGCCGCAUGGUACAGUGGUUGCGUUCUCUGACGCCGCUGUUUGUGAGGGGCUGGGCAUGUCCAGUUUGGAGUGGUGAUUCUCAACCAUGAGGGGAAUUGUGUGGCUGCGUGCUCUGAACCUUUAAGGGGCGUGCGUUCUUCGGAGUUGGCUGGAGCAAUGGCUCUUCGGCGCGCUGUCAGCUUAGUCCGGGAGGAGGGUUUUACCGAUGUCCUUUUCAAGUCUGAUUGCCUCUCGGUGGUGCAGCGGUUGACGUCUCUGUCUAAGGAUCGCUCGGUGGUGGGCUCUGUCCUUGCGGAUGUCAAGUCUUUGGCUAAUGGCCUCUCAUCCGUGGUCUUUCUUCACGUUCGUCGGCAUUGUAAUAUUUUAGCUCAUGUAUUUGCUAGAUCAAGUUUGGGCUCUUCUAGCCUUUGUAAUUUUCAUUAUGCUCUGGAUUGCAUCCGGAAGACUCUUUAUAACUUUGUUGCUUGAUCUAUAAAGGCCGGCGUUCUCUCUAAAAAAAUGAGGGUCAAACAGUAGAUCGAAUGAGACGCUCGGUCUUAAAGUUUUGAGGAGAGGUACAAGGACAAGAGAUGCGGUAGGUGAUGCCAUUGUGGAAGAAAAAUGUACGUACAGAGAAAUUAAUGAAACCAUCAUCAUUGUCACACUGCAUACAUUUUGGCAAAACAUGUAAAUGAGUUAAGACAUACAGUAUGUAAACAAAUGCUGGAGUGGAGGGGGUGUCAGGAUUCGUAGCGUCAGGGACGCGAGCAAGAAUAAUGAGAAACAGACAUCUUUUUUCUUACAAAUGUUUUUUUAGAAACUAACAUACCCAAGCCUCUAUAUCCAGCAAGGUUUUCGCUCCGAGAUUCAUCCACUUGGUGAAAAUGACCCAUGGGGAGUAAGAUUCACCUAGAAAACAAAAAUAGAGAGGGUUCCUCCUAGGGUUCCCCCCGCCCCGCCGCCGCCGCCGGCCCCCUCCCCCCACCCUCCCGCACCUCCGGCCGCGUGCGCCGCGCCGCGCCCCGCCUCCCUACUCCCUCCCGGCCCGCCCCCCGCGUCGCCUCCCCNNNNNNNNNNNNNNNNNNNNNNNNNNNNNNNNNNNNNNNNNNNNNNNNNNNNNNNNNNNNNNNNNNNNNNNNNNNNNNNNNNNNNNNNNNNNNNNNNNNNNNNNNNNNNNNNNNNNNNNNNNNNNNNNNNNNNNNNNNNNNNNNNNNNNNNNNNNNNNNNNNNNNNNNNNNNNNNNNNNNNNNNNNNNNNNNNNNNNNNNNNNNNNNNNNNNNNNNNNNNNNNNNNNNNNNNNNNNNNNNNNNNNNNNNNNNNNNNNNNNNNNNNNNNNNNNNNNNNNNNNNNNNNNNNNNNNNNNNNNNNNNNNNNNNNNNNNNNNNNNNNNNNNNNNNNNNNNNNNNNNNNNNNNNNNNNNNNNNNNNNNNNNNNNNNNNNNNNNNNNNNNNNNNNNNNNNNNNNNNNNNNNNNNNNNNNNNNNNNNNNNNNNNNNNNNNNNNNNNNNNNNNNNNNNNNNNNNNNNNNNNNNNNNNNNNNNNNNNNNNNNNNNNNNNNNNNNNNNNNNNNNNNNNNNNNNNNNNNNNNNNNNNNNNNNNNNNNNNNNNNNNNNNNNNNNNNNNNNNNNNNNNNNNNNNNNNNNNNNNNNNNNNNNNNNNNNNNNNNNNNNNNNNNNNNNNNNNNNNNNNNNNNNNNNNNNNNNNNNNNNNNNNNNNNNNNNNNNNNNNNNNNNNNNNNNNNNNNNNNNNNNNNNNNNNNNNNNNNNNNNNNNNNNNNNNNNNNNNNNNNNNNNNNNNNNNNNNNNNNNNNNNNNNNNNNNNNNNNNNNNNNNNNNNNNNNNNNNNNNNNNNNNNNNNNNNNNNNNNNNNNNNNNNNNNNNNNNNNNNNNNNNNNNNNNNNNNNNNNNNNNNNNNNNNNNNNNNNNNNNNNNNNNNNNNNNNNNNNNNNNNNNNNNNNNNNNNNNNNNNNNNNNNNNNNNNNNNNNNNNNNNNNNNNNNNNNNNNNNNNNNNNNNNNNNNNNNNNNNNNNNNNNNNNNNNNNNNNNNNNNNNNNNNNNNNNNNNNNNNNNNNNNNNNNNNNNNNNNNNNNNNNNNNNNNNNNNNNNNNNNNNNNNNNNNNNNNNNNNNNNNNNNNNNNNNNNNNNNNNNNNNNNNNNNNNNNNNNNNNNNNNNNNNNNNNNNNNNNNNNNNNNNNNNNNUCUGGGCGGGCCUGACUCGGUCUCGCCUGCGGCGGCUCCGGCCGGGGCGGUGGUGGUGCGGCUCGUGCGGGGGGUGGUGGAGACGGCGGCACGUCUACUGCAGCUCGGCGACGGGUGCUUCACGAGCCCCUUUUGGGCUUGGCCGGGCCUCGAGGGCCUGGUACGCUCCCCUUGCCGCGUCCGGUCGGUGACCGCCGAUGGUGGUGGAGGUUGUGUCCUCCGGCGUGGCUGCUCUCGCUGCCGCUCCUUGUUCCCGGCUGCUCCCUCUCGUCCUUGUCGGUCUCGCUUCGAUGACCACGGUGAAGCGGCGGUGAUGAUGGCAAGUCCGUGGUGGCGCACGUUCGUGGGUGGUUUGUCUGGUGGUGCGCGUCGGACCGUUCGGGGUUGUGGGUGUUUGGCGGAUGGGAGAAAUCCGGGCCGGCUUGCCGGCCCCGACGCGGUGACGCCCGUGGGCGCCACCGUUCCUUCCUGAAGGGCGUCGGGUCUUCCCCUUCCCCACGCCUCUCCGCGUACCGGGGGAAACCCUAGGACCUGUCCGGGCAGCAACGUCGUCGUCGUCGUCGUGUUCCUUCCUGAAGGUGCUGCUUGGUAUGCGAAGGUUCGAGGUGCCUGGAGCGAGGUGGUACAUCUCCGGUGGGCGCAACGGUUUUGGGUUAUCAUCGUUUUCGUUGAUCCGAUGCUGCGGACAUUAUUUUCUCUCUUCUUUCUCUUUUGUAUCUUUUGGGCAUGCUUGUGCUGUUUGCCCCAGCAUUGGACUCUUUGUUGUAUCGGGCGGUUGCUAUAUCAAUAUAGCGGGGCGAAAGCCUUUUUCGGUAAAAAAAUGACCCAUGGUGAAUUGUGGAUGUGGCACGUGCUAUUAUUUUGGGAGGCCAGGGGGUAGAAAUCGGCUAUGACUACAGGCUUUCCGUGAAAAUUUUAUUAACGUGGUUUGUAUUUCCGUGUGUGCGCUUUGUGCGCUUAGCUAUUUUCUGGGUUUGUGUGGGCCAUCUCUUCCACGUUGACCUGACUGCAUGAUCUCUCUUGCGUGGAUGACUACAUGUAUGGGCCGACAUCAGGUGGGCUUCACUGUCGCUGCGCCGUGAUUGCUCCCUCGCCUGUGCAUCUCGCCAGGGUCCACGUUGCGAUCGAUGCUUUGAACGGUGCCGCUUUGUUCGUUCGUGUAGAAACAAUGCGGCUGGCUCUUUCGUGUUCCUUCUCGUUUUCUCCUCUUGUCUUUUCGUGAGUUAUAAUAGGCUUUGCCUCCUGUGAUCUCCUAGUGUUACGUGGGCUUUGUUUCUUCUCUUCCAUCUACAUUGAUUGAAUUACAUGGUUUGUUCUUCUCCUAGCUGUAAUGGUCCGCGGCGUCCAGGCCCAGCCUCCUCGGUUGCGUGGGGCUGUGGUUGGUCUCCGUGCUUCUGCUGGAGCAGUCCCCGCCGUCCAGGUCGACCUCCUGCUAUACGUGAUGUUGUUGUUGGGCGUCGUGGUGGCUGCGGUGUUGUGCGGGGCCGUUCUGCAUUCAUGGCGGAUGUCGUCGCCGUUGUCGUUGCUGGGAUCGAUGCCUUCAGCCAUCGAGGAGGACUGCGACUACUGCGGCUUUUCUCAUGGUGGUCUCAGAGAUGGCGAUCCUGUCCUUGCACCGGCGAAGGCCGUAGCCCGAGAGGGACGACCAGAGAGACCCGGCCUUGGAGCGAACUACCACGAGCUCCUUUGAGUUUGCCCAAUAUUGUGUGAGCACCGCGGCCAGAAUUUGAGGUGCGUGUUAACUCUUCCUCCUCAACUCGAGCGCUCCGCGGGAAGCAUCUCACUGUCUGCUGCAUGCGCGAAGUAGUCCUGUUUUCUCUCUUUGCCAUGCAGAAUAAUGGUGGUAGCAGUAGCUGCCUGGUCUAUUGCUACCCGCAAACUUUUGUGCUAGCUGCUCAUUUAGCCCUUAGCUUGAUGUUUUCCAGUUCAGGGUUUGUACAUUGGAUGAUCUUGUAGUAGUUACCAACUAAGGAGAGUCUUUAACGCCCAGGGAAAGUAUCAGGUGAUACGGAGCCUUAGAUGCUCCCAUGAUACGAGCUCCUAGGAGUCGUUGGAUCUCAGAUCCAACAGUUCCGGGAGGCUUUGAACAUUUUUGCAAAAAAGACCUUUUGAAGUCUAAAAAUUGCGAACAAGUAUUGCAGCCUUCAAAACCACCUAGGAGCCGUUGGAUCUGAGAUCCAACGGACAAGAAGCCCGUAUCAUGGGAGCAUCUAAGCCUUGGUAUCACCUGAUACUUUCCCUUAACGCCCAUACUUUUGUUGGGGAUCGUAGCAAAAAUUUAAAAUUUUCUACGCAUCACCAAGAUCAAUCUAUGGAGUAAUCUAGCAACGAGGGGAAGGAGAGUGCAUCUACAUACCCUUGUAGAUCGCUAAGUGGAAGCAUUUAAGUGAACGGGGUUGAUGAAGUCGUACUCGUCGUGAUCCAAAUCACCGAUGAUCCUAGCGCCAAACGGACGGCACCGCCGCGUUCAACACACGUACGGUUGGGAGACGUCUCCUCCUUUCUUGAUCCAGCAAGGUGAGAGGAGAAGUUGAGGGAAAACUCCGACAACACGACGGCAUGGUGGUGAUGGAGCUCGUGGUUCUCCGGCAGGGCUUCGCCAAGCACUACGGAGGAGGAUGAGGUGUUGGAGGAGGAAGAGGGUUGCGCCAGGGGAAGGGUGCGGCUGCCCUCUCUCUCCCUCACUAUAUAUAGGGGGAAGGGAGGAGGGGGAGGCGCCCUAGGGUUCCCUAGGGGAGGGGCGGCGGCCACAGGGGAAACCCUAGAUGGGUUUGGGCGCCCCUACCCCCUAGGAAACUUGCCCCCAAAGCCGGGAGGGACGGCUGCCCUAGGGGUGGUGCCCCCACCUCUCCUGGUUACGUGAGAUGGGGUGGGAGGGGCGCUCAACCCCUUAGUGGGCUGAUGUGCCCUCUCCCCUUGGCCCAUAAGGCCCCUCAACGCUUGCCGGGGCCUCCGAAACCCCUUUCGGACACGCUGGUCAUCACCUGGUACCCCCGGAACAAUUCCGGACUCCAAUACCCUUCGUCCAAUAUACCGAUCUUCACCUCCGGACCAUUCCGGAGCUCCUCAUCAUGUCCGGGAUCUCAUCCGGGACUCCGAACAACCUUCGGUAACCACAUACUAUUUCCCAUAACAACUCUAGCGUCACCGAACCUUAAGUGUGUAGACCCUACCACUAGUAGAAAAAGGGUCAAACGUGAAGCACACUAGUAGAAAAAGUAUUUGAGCCGGCACUAAUGUAUAAAUUAGUGCCGGUUCCAACGGCUAGCCGUGCUGCUUUCAUUAGUACCGGUUCGUGGCGAACCUUUAGCACCGGUUCGUGCCACGAACCGGUACUAAUGAGAGUGGUGGCUGGAUGUUAUCAGACUGGGGCCCCUCCAGCCCCUUUAGUACCGGUUCUUGGCACGAACCGGUACUAAAGGUCGUCCUACAUAAACCCUUCGUCCACCCGAGCUCGCUCUGUUCUUCCCCUUUCCCCUCUCCUCUCUCUGUUCUUCCCCUCUUCCUCUCGAGCUCAUCACACAUUUUGCCCAAAAUUUGUCAAGAUUUGAAGGCCCCCAUCCAUUCAAAUGAUCACAAAGGUUAGCAACUUUGUCCUUUCAUCUCUCAUUGCUAGAUUAGCUCUUGCAAUGCUUUAUAUAGUGAUUAAUUUGUGAGUUUAGUAAUUUGGGAGGAUAUAUAUAUGUGCUAGUAUUUGAUUUAUAUGCAAUUUGAGGUCAAAAAUAACACUUAGUUUGCAUAUGUAGGUGUGGUUUACUUAGUGCCUUCUAAAUCUCCGUCGUAACUACCGUCGAUCGCACGCACCGUCCCGUCGCCGGCACCACCUUAUGGUGAGCCUCUUGUUCAUAAAAUUUUAUAUAAAAAUUGAUGUUUGUGUGAUUUGGAUAUACAGUUACUCGUAUAAUUAUCUUACCCGUACAUUGUUUGUUAUACAUAUAGUGCCAUGGUUUUGAUAUCCGUCCCCGUCGGCCCUCGUCCUUGUUAUGAUUCGGAUGUGGUAUAUAUAUUCUCUUUUAAAACUAGUUGCACUUCGUGUUUAUGACAAAUUAUGCCCAUCAAGUUGACAUAGAAAUUUUUUCUAGGAGGUAUGUGAACCGGAAAUUCCAACCGACCCUAUUGUCGAGAGGUUAAAUUUAGUUGAAAGAGAAAAUGAGUACUUGAAAGAAAAAUUGAAAAGAAUUGAGGGGGAGAAGAUGGAAUUGGAGUUGCAUGUUGCCGAUGUCGUCGAUGAUCACAAGAUCAAGAUGGAGAAAAUGCGCUUGAAGAUUAGAAACAUUAGAAAAUAUGCCAUCGAUAGUGAGGCUUGGUAUCAUUAUGCUGUUGGAUCCAUUGUUACCUUAGUUGCGAUCUUGAUCGCAUUUGUUGUUGCAUUUAAAUGCUUUAGCUAGAGAGUUAUUUGUUUGUUGCAUUUAAGUGUUGUAUGAACUUUAUGUAUGAACUUGUAUUAAUUUGGUCUAUUCGGUGUUGUGUAAUGAAGAUGAGCCGGCAAUGGAUGUACGAUGACCGAUGCUCUCCCCAGUUCGUUGAGGGCGUGCAUACUUUUCUGCUUGCGGCUGAGGCAAACAAGCGGGCGGAUGGUUUUAUGCCUUGUCCAUGUGCUGGCUGUAAGAAUGGUCACAAUUACUCUACGUCAAGAACCAUUCACGUCCACCUGUUUAAGUCCGGUUUCAUGCCCCACUAUGAUGUUUGGACCAAGCAUGGAGAAAGAGGGGUUAUGAUGGAAGACAAUGAAGAAGAAGAGGAAGACGACAGCUAUCCUGGCCAUGGGUUCCCUGAAUACGAUGAUACAACAAUGGGGGAAGAAGCUGAGCCGGUAAUGCGGGAAGAAGCUGAGCCGGCAAUGCGGGAAGAAGCUGAAGAAGAGGCAUCAGAUGAGCCCGUUGAUGAUCUAGGUCGGGCCAUUGCCGAUGCAAAGAGAAACUGCGCAAGUGAUUUGGAGAAGAAGAAGUUGCAGCGCAUGUUAGAGGAUCAUAAAAAAUUGUUGUACCCGAAUUGCGUAGGUGACAAGAAAAAGCUGGGCACCACACUGGAAUUGCUGCAAUGGAAGGCAGAGAAUGGUGUAUCUGACAAGGGAUUUGGAAAGUUGCUGGUAAUGAUAAAGGAUAUGCUUCCAAAGGACAACGAAUUGCCCGAGAGUACGUACAAAGCAAAGAAGGUUGUCUGCCCUCUAGGGUUAGAGGUGCAGAAGAUACAUGCAUGCCCUAAUGAUUGCAUCCUCUACCGCGGUGAGUACGAGGAUUUGAACGCUUGCCCGGUAUGUGGUGCAUUACGCUAUAAGAUCUGCCGCGAUGACCCUGGUGAUGUCGAGGGCGAGCGCCCCAGGAAGAAGAUUCCUGCCAAGGUGAUGUGGUAUGCUCCUAUAAUAGUACGGUUGAAACGUUUGUUCCAAAACAAAGAGCAUGCCAAGGCGAUGCGAUGGCACAGAGAAGACCGUAAGAAAGACGGAAAGUUGAGAGUACCCGCUGACGGGUCGCAGUGGAGAAAAAUCGAAAGAAAGUACGGGAAGGAGUUUGCAGAUGAUGCAAGGAGCGUAUGGUUUGCUCUAAGCGCAGAUGGCAUUAACCCUUUUGGGGAGCAGAGCAGCAACCAUAGCACCUGGCCUGUGACUCUAUGUUUGUAUAACCUUCCUCCUUGGUUGUGCAUGAAGCGGAAGUUCAUUAUGAUGCCAGUGCUCAUCCAAGGCCCUAAGCAACCCGGCAACGACAUUGAUGUGUACCUAAGACCAUUAGUUGAAAACUCUUACAACUGUGGAAUGGAACAGGUGUACGUGCGUGGGAUGAGCACAUGGGGGAAGAAUUUGACCUAAAGACAUUGGUGUUCGUGACCAUCAAUGAUUGGCCUGCUCUCAGUAACCUUUCAGGACAGACAAACAAGGGAUACCGCGCAUGCACGCACUGUUUGGACCAUACCGACAGUAUAUAUUUGGCUAAUUGUAAGAAGAAUGUGUACCUGGGACAUCGUCGAUUUCUUCCGAGCAGGCAUCCCGUAAGAAAGAAAGGCAAGCAUUUCAAAGGUGAGGCGGAUCACCGGACGAAGCCUCGCCACCGUACUGGUGCUGAUGUACUAUCAUCACUUUCUUCUGUGUUUCACACCCAGAAGGGAAUCUCUGUAAUAGUUAGGGUAGUUAAUUAUGUGUUUUGGCAUUUGAAACGCGAAGAAAUUUUAUGUGCAAACAAAUUCUUUCAUGCCUUUACUGAUUUUUAAAGUUAAGUUAUUCACAAACUAGUGAUUCACACUAAUUUCAAAUAAUUUAAAAUUUAAACUGUUCAAAUUUGAAAACUACGGGCACUAACAGAAAGUUCGUAAUUUUUUGUACCUAAAGCAAAAAUAUUCACAAAGAAACUCUAAAUACACAAAAAAACAACUCAAAAAUAAAUAAAGCAAAAUAAAUAAAUAAAAAGCCCGCCUACUAGGCUAGAGCGGCCUGCAUACGACUAGAAACCCAACCUGUUGUUGGGCCAAGAUGCAGGCCCGCGAAGGCCCAGUAGGCCAAUAGGGCAGCACAGAACAUGUAGGCCCAGUAGGCCUGCUUUGGAGAGGAGCUCGAGAGAGCUACCGCACAGGGGUUUAUAAACCAGUGCGGUAGCCCCUCGGCUAGCGAGGUGGGACUAAACUUGUGCACCGCACCUGCGCCAGCGCACCCCCUUUAGUACCGGUUCAUGGCACCAACCGGUACUAAACGACGGCUGAAAUGGUUUCGACCCAAGAUAAGUAAUUAAGUAGUACUAGCUAGCUGCCAUCUCUUUAAUUAUCGUGCUUGAUUAAUUAUUAUCUGAUCAAAUUAAAUUCCAUUCUCGUAAUAAAGGCCCUGAAGCAGGCGCAGGGGACUGAUCUGUGUGCAUUCUGCGUUUGCGAGAACAUUCGCAUGAUGGCGUCCGAAAGGAGAAGAUCUCAAAGACAGGAAUGGGUACGCUUGUCAGAACACUAUUCACAAUUUUUACACCAUUAUCGAUAUCUAGUCACACAACUAAUACACAUGCAUAUUGAUCUCCUUCUUAACAGUUCACAGAGGUGCGGGACAAGCUCCUAGAAACGGAGCGCGUAGAAGCACUUCAAGAGGAAAUAGCGAGAUUUUUGCUCGACCAGGUCACAAAUCCGAAGGGAGAAUACUAUUACCCGCUACCGCCCCCAUCGACCCGGUCAUGAACCACUUCCAAUUGUCAUCGUGCUCCGAAGGCACCAAUUAGGCUAAUGCCACUGGCUCCGAAGGCAACAAGCAUAUGUAGGAGAAAUUGUAUAUAGCUAUACAUGUGUGUAUGUGUGAAUUAAUAUGGUGGUUUGUGAGACAUUGAUGAUAUAUAUAUGAUUGGUUCUACUUGAAAUUCUAUUUAUAUAUAUAUAUAUACAUAAUGUGUACAAUGUGUAGUAUCGUAAAAUAGCAGCAAACGAAAAAGAAUUAAAAUGGAAAACACAAAAUUAAAUGAAAAAGAAAUCAUAAAACAAAAAAACAUUUUAGUACCGGUUGGUGUUACCAACCGGUACUAAAGGGCUCCCGGCCCCCGGAGCUGGCUCGUGCCACGUGGUUGCCCUUUAGCACCGGUUCGUGCCGAACCGGUACUAAAGGGGGCGCCUUUAGUGCCGGUUAUGGAACCGGCACUAAAGGGCCUUACGAACCGGUGCUAUUGCCUGGUUCUGCACUAGUGUACGGGUUCGGGAACCAUGCAGACAUGACCGAGACAAUUCUCCGGCCAAUAACCAACAGCGGGAUCUGGAUACCCAUGUUGGCUCCCACAUGUUCCAUGAUGAUCUCAUCGGAUGAACCACGAUGUCGAGGAUUCAAUCAAUCCCGUAUACAAUUCCCUUUGUCCAGUGGUAUUAUACUUGCCUGAGAUUCGAUCAUCGGUAUCCGAUACCUUGUUCAAUCUCGUUACCGGCAAGUCUCUUUACUCGUUCCGUAACACAUCAUCCCGUGAUCAACUCCUUGGUCACAUUGUGCACAUUAUGAUGAUGUCCUACCGAGUGGGCCCAGAGAUACCUCUCCGUUUACACGGAGUGACAAAUCCCAGUCUCGAUUCGUGCCAACCCAACAGACACUUUCGGAGAUACCUGUAGUGUACCUUUAUAGCCACCCAGUUACGUUGUGACGUUUGGCACACCCAAAGCACUCCUACACUAUCCAGGAGUUGCACAAUCUCAUGGUCUAAGGAAAUGAUACUUGACAUUAGAAAAGCUUUAGCAAACGAACUACACGAUCUUGUGCUAGGCUUAGGAUUGGGCCUUGUCCAUCACAUCAUUCUCCUAAUGAUGUGAUCCCGUUAUCAACGACAUCCAAUGUCCAUGGUCAGGAAACCGUAACCAUCUAUUGAUCAACGAGCUAGUCAACUAGAGGCUUACUAGGGACAUGGUGUUGUCUAUGUAUCCACACAUGUAUCUGAGUUUCCUAUCAAUACAAUUCUAGCAUGGAUAAUAAACGAUUAUCAUGAACAAUGAAAUAUAAUAAUAAUAACUAAUUUAUUAUUGCAUCUAGGGCAUAUUUCCAAGAGUCUCCCACUUGCACUAGAGUCAAUAAUCUAGUUCACAUCGCCAUGUGAUUAACACUCACAGGUCACAUCGCCAUGUGACCAACAUCCAAAGAGUUUAGUAGAGUCACUAAUCUAGUUCACAUCACUAUGUGAUUAAUAAUCAAUGAGUACUGGGUUUGAUCAUGUUAUGCUUGUGAGAGAGGUUGUAGUCAACGGGUCUUGCCAUAUUCAGAUCCCUAUGUACUUCGCAAAACUUUAUGUCAUGUCGUAGAUGCUGCUACCACGUUCCACUUGGAGCUAUUCCAAAUUGUUGCUCCAUUAUACGUAUCCGGUAUCUCUACUCAGAGCUAUCCGGAUAGGUGUUAAGCUUGCAUCGACGUAACUCUUUACGUCGAACUCUUUAUCACCUCCAUAACCGAGAAACAUUUCCUUAUUCCUCCAUGGAUAAUUUUGACCGCUAUCUGGUGAUCUACUCCUAGAUCACCUUUGUACCCUCUUGCCAGACAUGUGGCAAGGCACACAUCAGGUGCGGUACUCAGCAUGGCAUACCGUAUAGAGCCUAUGACAAGAGCAUAGGGGACGACCUUCGUCCUUCCUCUUUCUUCUGCCGUGGUCAAUCUUUGAGUCUUACUCAACUUCACACCUUACAACUCAGGUAAGAACCCCUUCUUUGACUGAUCUAUUUUGAACUCCUUCAAAAACAUGUCAAGGUGUGUGUUCUUUGAAAGUAUCAUCAGACGUCUUGAUCUAUCUAUAGAUCUUGAUGCCCAAUAUGUAAGCAGCUUUAUCCAGGUCUUCCUUUGAAAAACGUUCUUCAAACAACCAUUUAUGCUUUCCAGAAAUUCUACAUUAUUUCGAAUCAGCAAUAUGUCAUCCACAUAUACUUAUCAGAAAUGUUGUAGUGCUCCCACUCACUUUCUUAUAAAUACAAGUUUCUAGCAAACAUUGUAUAAACCUAAAAGCUUUGAUCACUCCAUCAAAACAUAUAUUCUGAUUCCGAGAUGCUUGCUCUAGUCCAUAGAAGGAUUGCUGGAGCCAGCAUACCUUUUAGCAUCCUUAGGAUCGUCAAAACCUUUUAUUGUAUCACAUACAACUUUUCUUACGAAAACUGGUAAGAAAACAUGUUUUGACAUCCAUCUGUAAGAUUUCAUAAUCGAAAAAUACAGCUAAUUCUAACAUGAUUCCGACGGACUUAAGCAUCGCUACGGGUGAGAAAUUUUCAUCGUAGUCAACUCCUUGAACUUGUGAAAAGACUCUUUCCCACAAGUCGAGCUUCAGAGACGGUAACAUUACCGCCCACAUCCGUCUUCUUCUUAAAGAUCCACAUUACCGCCCACAUCUGUCUCUAAUGCAUAACCUCAAAAUAAUAGCGGUAGAUCGGUAAGAGACAUCAUAGAUCGCACCAUAUCUCAUAAGGUUCGAUUACAAUGUUCGGACACACCAUUACCUUGUGGUGUUCCAGGUGGCUUCAACUGCGAAACAACUCCACAAUGUCUUAAGUGAUUGCCAAACUCAUAACUCAGAAAAUCCCCUUUUGAUCAGAUCGUAGGAACAUGAUCUUCUUUGUUAUGAUGAUUCUUAACUUCACUCUGAAAUCGCUUGAACUCUUCAAACGUUUCAGACUUGUGCUUCAUUAGGUAGAUAUACCUAUAUCUACCCAAAUCGUCAGUGAAGAUGAGAAAAUAGCGAUAUCCACCGCACGCUUCAAUUCUCAUUGGAUCACACGCAUCAGCAUGCAUGAUUUCCAACAAGUCACUUGCCCGUUUCAUUGUACCUGAAAACGGGGUCUUAGUCAUCCUGCCCAUGAGGCAUGGCUCGCAUGUGUCAAGUGAUUCAAAAUCAAGUGACUCCAAACAUCCAUCGACAUGGAGUUUCUUCAUGCAUCUUACGCCAAUAUGACCUAAGCGGCAGUGCCACGAGAAAGUGGUACUAUCAUUAUUAACUCUACAUCUUUUGGCGUGAACAUGUGUAUUACCACGACCGAGAUUCAAUGAACCAUUCACAUAGGGUGCAUGACCAUGAAAGGUAUCAUUCAUGUAAACAGAAUAAUCAUUAUUCUCUAACUUAAAUGAACGACCGUAUUGCAAUGAACAUGAUCUAAUCAUAUUCAUGCUCAACGUAGACACCUGAUAACAUUUAUCUAGGCUCAAUACUAAUCCUGAAGGCAGAUGGAGCGUGCGAUGGUGAUCUCAUUAACUUUGGAAACACUUCGAAUACACAUCGUCACCUCGCCCUUAGCCAGUCUUCGUUUAGUCCGUAGCUUUUGCUUCAAGUCACCAAUAAUGGCAACUGAACCGGUAUCCAAUACCCAGGUGCUACCAGGAGUACUAGUAAGGUACACAUUAAUAACACGUAUAUACUUUUUUGAAGUUGCCAGCCUCCUUAUCUACCAUGCAUUUGGGGUAAUUCCGCUACCAGUGACCGUCCCCUUUACAAUAGAAGCACUUAGUCUCGGGUUUGGGUUCAACCUUGUGUUCCUUCACUGGAGCGGCAACUGGUUUGCCAUCCAUGAAGUUUCCCUUCUAGCCCUUGCCCUUCUUGAAACCAGUGGUCUUGUCAAACCAUCAACACUUGAUGCUCCUUCUUGAUUUCUACCUUUUGCGGUCUUAAGCACCGCGAACAGCUCUCGGAUCAACUCCAUCCCUUGCAUGUCAUAGUUCAUCACGAAGAUCUAGUAGCUUAGUGAUAGUGGCUAGAGAACUCUAUCAAUCACUAUCUUAUCUGUAAGUUUAACUCCCACCUGAUUUAAGUGAUUGUAGCACCCAGACAUUCUGAGCACAUGCUCACUAACUGAGCUAUUCUCCUCCAUCUUGUUGGCAAAAUAACUUGUCAGAGGUCUCACACCUCUCAACACGGGCAUGAGCCUGAAAUCCCAAUUUCAGCUCUUGGAACAUCUCAUAUGUUCUAUGGCGUUCAAAACGUCAUUGGAAUCCCGAUUCUAAGCCAUAAAGUAUGGUGCACUAAACUAUCGAGUAGUCAUCAGGAUGUGUCUGUCAGGUGUUCUCAACAUCCACAGACGACGUUGUGGGGCUUUGCACAUCGAGCGGUGCAUCAAAGACGUAAGCCUUCUGUGUAGGAGUAAGGACACUCCUCGGACUACGGACCUAGUCCGCAUCAUUGCUUACAAUAUCUUUCAACUUAAUCUUUCUCUAGGAACGUAUUGAAACAGGGAGCUACAACGUGAGCUAUUUAUCUACAAUAUAUUUGUAAAGAAAAUUUAGACUAUGUUCAUGAUAAUUGAGUUCAUCUAAUCAAAUUAUUUAAUGAAUUCCCGCUCAGAUAGACAUCCCUCUAGUCAUCUAAGUGAAACAUGAUCCGAAUCGACUAGGCCGUAUCCGAUCAUCACGUGAGACGGACUAGUCAUCAACGGUGAACAUCUCAUGUUGAUCGUAUCUUCUAUACGACUCAUGUUCAACCUUUCGGUCUUCCGUGUUCCGAGGCCAUGUCUAUACAUGCUAGGCUCGUCAAGUGAACUUAAGCGUAUUGCGUGUGUAAAUCUGGCUUACACCCGUUGUAUUCGAACGUUAGAAUCUAUCACACCCGAUCAUCACGUGGUGCUUCGAAACGACGAACCUUCGCAACGGUGCACAGUUAGGGGGAACACUUUCUUGAAAUUAUUGCAAUGGAUCAUCUUAUUUAAGCUACCGUCAUUCUAAGCAAAUAAGAUGUAAAACAUGAUAAACAACACAUGCAAUCAAAUAGUGACAUGAUAUGGCCAAUAUCAUUUUGCUCCUUUUGAUCUCCAUCUUCGGGGCUCCAUGAUCAUCGUUGUCACCAGCAUGACACCAUGAUCUCCAUCAUCAUGAUCUCCAUCAUCGUGUCUUUUUGAAGUUGUCUCGUCAUCUAUUACUUCUACUACUAUGGCUAACACUUUAGCUAUAAAGUAAAGUAAUUACAUGACGUUUAUGUUGACACGCAGGUCAUAAAUAAAUUAAGACAACUCCUAUGGCUCCUGCCGGUUGUCAUACUCAUCGACAUGCAAGUCGUGAUUCCUAUUACAAGAACAUGAUCAAUCUAAUACAUCACAUAUAUCAUUCAUCACAUCCUUUUGGCCAUAUCACAUCACAAGGCAUAUGCUGCAAAAACAAGUUCGACAUCCUCUAAUUGUUGUUGCAAGUUAUUACGUGGCUGCUAUAGGUUUCUAGCAUGAAUGUUUCUUACCUACGCGAAAACCACAACGUGAUAUGCCAAUUUCUAUUUACCCUUCAUAAGGACCCUUUUCAUUGAAUCCGAUCCGACUAGAGUGGGAGAGACAGACACCCGCUAGCCACCUUAUGCAACUAGUGCAUGUCAGUCGGUGGAACCAGUCUCACGUAAGAAUACGUGUAAGGUCGGUCUAGGCCGCUUCAUCCCACGAUGCCGCCGAAUCAAGAUAAGACUAGUAACGGUAAGUAAAUUGACAAUAUCGACGCCCACAACUGCUUUGUGUUCUACUCGUGCAUAGAAACUACGUAUAGACCUAGCUCAUGAUGCCACUGUUGGGGAUCGUAGCAGAAAUUUAAAAUUUUCUAUGCAUCACCAAGAUCAAUCUAUGGAGUAAUCUAGCAACAAGGGGAAGGAGAGUGCAUCUACAUACCCUUGUAGAUCGCUAUGCGGAAGCGUUCAAGUGAACGGGGUUGAUGGAGUCGUACUCAUCGUGAUCCAAAUCACCGAUGAUCCUAGCGCCGAACGGACGGCACCUCCGCGUUCAACACAUGUACGGUUGGGAGACGUCUCCUCCUUCUUGAUCCAGCAUGGUGAGAGGAGAAGUUGAGGGAAAACUCCGACAGCACGACGGCGUGAUGGUGAUGGAGCUCGUGGUUCUCCGACAGGGCUUCGCCUGCCUCGGAGAUGUUCGGGUCCACGCCGCCGCCGCAGAGCGAGGCCACGCCCUUCAACCCGCGGUCACCCUACGCGGCCGCCAAGGUCGCCGCGCACUGGUACACCGUCAACUACCGCGAGGCGUACGGCCUCUUCGCCUGCAACGGCGUGCUCUUCAACCACGAGUCCCCCCGGCGCGGCGAGAACUUCGUCACCCGCAAGAUCACCCGCGCCAUCGGCCGCAUCAAGGUCGGGCUCCAGACCAAGGUCUUCCUCGGCAACCUCUCCGCCGCCAGGGAUUGGGGCUUCCCCCCGCUGGACCCUGUUAUCUAAGCACGCUGGAUCCUCAUUAUCCUAGGACGGAGGGCAGCGCAGGUGGUGGGACUCGCCGGCCGGUGGGGGCAGAGCGGCGGAGUGCACUUAAGGUGUUCGUGGAAAUGAGAGAGAGAGAGAGAGAGAGGAGGAAGAAGAUUGAUGCUGACAGGUGGGCCCAAGCGGUCAGAUUUGUGCUUAGCACGGGCUAAGCGAGCGAUUUCGCGACUUGGUAGUUUUUUGCCACGGAUUAGGAAAAAAUUGGUAGUUUUUGGGACAAAAUCGUAAAGUGGUAGUUUUUCGUCACGGUUCCGUGAAUUAUGGUAGUUUUUGGUUAAAUACUCUUACAUUACGGUGAUCUCCAGGUUCAGUCAGCGGUCUUCUUGUAGGUAUACCACCGUGCGACGAGCAGGUACACGCUGAAGUUGCCGAUGCAGAGCAUGGCGAGCAGCCAGAAAAAGUAGUCCAGAUGGCCGUCGUUGAUAUCGUCGGGGAUCCACCCGGGCCGCCCGCCCCUCGUCAUUGCGCGCACCACGACGGCCACGAGCGCCGAGCUCGCGUAGUUGCCCAGCGCAAACGCCGCGCUGGAGAGCCCCGAGCAGACGUUCCGCAUGGCGUCCGGCGCCUGGUCAUAGAAGAACUCCAUCUGCCCGAUGAACGUGAACACCUCUGCGGCACCCACCACCACGUACUGCGGCACCUGCCAGAAGAUCGACAUCGGCACAUACCCCGCGCCGUCCUCGCCGGUGUAGGUGCCGUGGCGCGCGACGACGCGGCGCCGCGCCACCUCGAGCGUGCCGGCGGCGAGCAUGGCAACAGUGAGGAUGACGAAGCCCACACCCAUGCGCGCCAGCUGCGUGAACCCGCGGCGGUGGCCCGUGAGGCGGCGCGCGAGCGGCACGACGGCGCGGUCGUAGAGCGGCACCCAGAGCAUGACGCUGAGGGUGUCGAAGACGGUGAGCACGGCGGGGGGCACGCGGAAGCUGCCGACGCGCGGGUCCAGCGUGUCACCCUGGAGGAUGAAGGUGGUGGUCAUCUGCGUGUAGGCGGCCGCGAAGAUGAUGCCGCACGCCCACACCGGCAGCAGUCGGAGCACGCACUUGAGCUCCUCCACCUGCGUCACGGUGCACAGCCGCCACGGGCUCGCCGGCCGCGCCUUGUCGCCCGCCGUCUCCACCGCCGCCUUGUCCAAGAACCUGAGUGAUCGACAGCAACCGAGCGGUGCAACAGAUUAAUAAUAUUUUACUUCCAAAAAUCCACCAGCAUUACUUUCAGUUUACAUAUGUCACAUUGUUAUUUCAAUUUCAUAAAAAUAUUUGACAUUUCACCAGUAGCACUUUCAGUUUAGAUAUUCACACAUCACAAAAAUCCUAUUUCAAUUCUUUCAAAAACAUAUUCACAAACUGGUUUCAAUUAUUUGAAACAUCCACUUAAAUUAUUUCAAACCAUACAUUUCAGUUAUUUGAAAAACAUAUUUCAAUAGGAUCAAUUUCAUAUUUUUCGCAAUUAUUCAGUUCAUCCAUUUCAAUUAUUUCAGAACAUAUUUCAGUUUUUCAAAAAAAAAGGGAUUUCACUUAUUCCGGGUAAGACUCCACUACUUAAAAAAAAGUGAGUUCAUCCCUUUCGGUAAUUUCAUAACAUAUUUCACUUUUCCAAACUUAAAAAAAAUCACUCUUCUGAAACAUAUCAAUCUCACUAAAACCUUCACUCCUUCUCGAAUACACUCAUUGGUCCUAUUCUAAGCAGUUCCCCACACUAGAAUAAAUUUAGUGAAAUAUGUGGAUUGAAAUGUUGAAAUUUGAACAUGUUUGAAUUGUAUCCAAAUUGACUUUACUUGAAAUGUCUUGACGCUAGGAGUUGAAAUAUACAUAAAGUUUCAAAAAUGUAAUUGUGGUUUAAAAUAUCUGAAUGGUUUAAAUUAGCAAAGAUGAAAUAAUGUCUUUGUGGGUUGUAGACUAGAACCGAUUCUAGCUUUUUUUUCCUCGGCAUGAGCAUGCUACAAUGACUUACCAUGAGGUUUGUUGCUCUUAGAUUUUGUGGCGUCAAGUUUUGAUCGACAAUCGACAUUGACCAUGCCCUACUAGCACCCUGUAAAUCUACUUUUUUGUCAAUUGCUAUUCUUUAAUUAUCAAAUUUUGUCUGGGUCCAAUUCAAUUAUGUGGUCGGUGCAAACGAGGUAGUAAAGGGAUGGAGACAUGGUAGGGGUGGUGGCAUGGAUUGGGAGGGGGCGCGAAGCUGUCCGCGUCGGGUGGCAAAAUGGUGGUUAGGCCCCUGGCAGUGGGCCUCUUGACAACAAGGGGUGAAGGGGGUCGACGGCGAUGAGGGAAGGAAAGUGACCGAAACUAGAAAACAAAAACAUCACCUAAAAGAAUAGUCAGUCUUUUUUCCGUUGAAGCAACUUCCUUGGACUUUUGCUGCAUUAUUGUGGUUAUCAAUUCAACAAAAGAUAUGAGUGUGAUGAUUCGGUGUGUGAACAGUAAAAUCAAAUAAAAUACUCGCAGCGGCAAUUAAUGUGGAUCGAAGGAAGAAGUAAAAAAGAUCUGAUAUUUUUUUGGCAUCAAAGAUACUCAAAUGUGUGAUGUGGGUGCUAAAAUUCAUGGUGUUUGGACAUUCGAAGAGGUCAGGGCACACUCAUGCAGGAGCGUGACGUUGGUCAGGGUCUCCACGUCACACUUCCUGGAAGUGGCGAGCAUCUUGUGAAUUCACAAGAAUAAGAAUGUGGCUAACUCUUAUCUAGACGAGACUUAACUAUAUCUCAUCUAACUCCUACACUAUUUGAUUUUACGCGGAGAUUCAUAUGAAUUUUUAUUUUUUAUUUCACUAAUCAGAUGAUGUAACAGUUAGAUGAUACUUUGGUAAUUCUCAUCAGCAAAUCUGCACAAACAAGAUGCUCAGAUUUACUAUGGGUUGAAUUUUAACAAAAGAUAAUGUUGGGCAGCUACUGUGAAGAGUGGAUGACACCGAGAUUAGGUUUGGUCCAGGUUGGCUGAUUAGCUUGCUCAAUCAGUCACACAGCAUGUUUCAAUCAUAGACAAAAUAAAUUGAACGCUCCUUUCUCAAAAAACUGCACAUGAUGGAGACGAUGCAAGUGGAAGGCGAUGCUAACGACGGCCAGGGCACGGGAACUGACCUGAACUCGUCAGUGUGCGCGAGGCGGCGGCUCCCCUGAAUCACUGACAUGCCGUCGUCCCCGUCACACUCGUGCAGCAGCGUGGCGUCGGUCGGGAUCUCCACGUCGCACUUCCUGGCGGCGGCGACCACCACCUGCGCGAUCCUGGUGAGCGGGCUGCCGCCGGGGGGCUGGUGGCGGCGGUACGCGCCCGUGCCGGCGAGGAACAGAGCGACGGCGAGCACGCUGAGCAGCGCCGGGAUGCCGUAGCCGAGCCGCCAGCCGUGGGCGGACUGCACCCACACCAGGACGGUGCCGCCCACGAGCGAGCCCACGACAAUGGACAGGUAGAACCAGUUGAAGAAGGAGCUCUGCCGCCGGCGCUCCUCCUCGUCGGACUCGGCGUCGAACUGGUCGGCCCCGAACGACGACAGGACCGGCUGCAGCGCGCCGCCCAGCGCCACCAGGUACAGCCCCGCGUAGAACACCGCGCUCGCCGCCACGACGCCGUACCCCGCGACGGAGAUGAAGAGGAAGAGGGUGAUGGUCCAGUACCUGCCGAGGAAAGAGUCGGCGAGGAAGCCGGCCGCGAGCGGCGUGAUGGAGGCGGUGCCCUGCCAGUUGGUGACGCUGUUCGCCGCGGCCUUGCUGCCGGAGUGCAGCUGGACCUUGAGGAAGUUCACCAGGUUCGUCGACACGCCGUAGUAAGCGCUGUACUGGAGGCAGUUGUUCACUGCACACCACGCGCGCGUGAAUGCAUGAGCAGCAUAUUUAGCGUGGAUCUAGGUGGAUCAUAGCGACAAGAAGAAAGUGGUGCAAGUUUUACCGAGGAUGAAAACGUAGCCCCACGAACUCCGGCGAUCCCUCGUGGACGUCCGGCGAUCGGGGUCACCCUGCAGGCCUUUUGAUUCGAAACGGAACCAGCUGAAGCAAAAGAGAGGAGGAACAUUAGCCUGAAUGAGGGUCGAACCUGUACACGCUCCCAGGCGUGAGACCUCUUCUUCUGUCCUUCUUUGGUCUCCGCCGCCGCAUGGUACAGUGGUUGCGUUCUCUGACGCCGCUGUUUGUGAGGGGCUGGGCAUGUCCAGUUUGGAGUGGUGAUUCUCAACCAUGAGGGGAAUUGUGUGGCUGCGUGCUCUGAACCUUUAAGGGGCGUGCGUUCUUCGGAGUUGGCUGGAGCAAUGGCUCUUCGGCGCGCUGUCAGCUUAGUCCGGGAGGAGGGUUUUACCGAUGUCCUUUUCAAGUCUGAUUGUCUUUCGUGUUCCUUCUCGUUUUCUCCUCUUGUCUUUUCGUGAGUUAUAAAUAGGCUUUGCCUCCUGUGAUCUCCUAGUGUUACGUGGGCUUUGUUUCUUCUCUUCCAUCUACAUUGAUUGAAUUACAUGGUUUGUUCUUCUCCUAGCUGUAAUGGUCCGCGGCGUCCAGGCCCAGCCUCCUCGGUUGCGUGGGGCUGUGGUUGGUCUGCGUGCUUCUGCUGGAGCAGUCCCCGCCGUCCAGGUCGGCCUCCUGCUAUACGUGAUGCUGUUGUUGGGCGUCGUGGUGGCUGCGGUGUUGUGCGGGGCCGUUCUGCAUUCAUGGCGGAUGUCGUCGCCGUUGUCGUUGCUGGGAUCGAUGCCUUCAGCCAUCGAGGAGGACUGUUGCGACAACUGCGGCUUUUCUCAUGGUGGUCUCAGAGAUGGCGAUCAUGUCCUUGCACCGGCGGAGGCCGUAGCCCGAGAGGGACGACCAGAGAGACCCGGCCUUGGAGCGAACUGCCACGAGCUCCUUUGAGUUUGCCCAAUAUUGUGUGAGCGCCGCGGCCAGAAUUUGAGGUGCGUGUUAACUCUUCCUCCUCAACUCGAGAGCUCCGCGGGAAGCAUCUCACUGUCUGCUGCGUGCGCGAAGUAGUCCUGUUUUCUCUCUUUGCCAUGCAGAAUAAUGGUGGUAGCAGUAGCUGCCUGGUCUAUUGCUACCCGCAAACUUUUGUGCUAGCUGCUCAUUUAGCCCUUAGCUUGAUGUUUUCCAGUUCAGGGUUUGUACAUUGGAUGAUCUUGUAGUAGUUAACAACUAAGGAGAGUCUUUAACGCCCAGGGAAAGUAUCAGGUGAUACGGAGCCUUAGAUGCUCCCAUGAUACGAGCUCAUAGGAGUCGUUGGAUCUCAGAUCCAACAGUUCCGGGAGGCUUUGAACAUUUUUGCAAAAAAGACCUUUUGAAGUCUAAAAAUUGCGAACAAGUAUUGUAGCCUUCAAAACCACCUAGGAGCCGUUGGAUCUGAGAUCCAACGGACAAGAAGCUCGUAUCAUGGGAGCAUCUAAGCCUUGGUAUCACCUGAUACUUUCCCUUAACGCCCAUGCUUUUGUUGGGGAUCGUAGCAGAAAUUUAAAAUUUUCUACGCAUCACCAAGAUCAAUCUAUGGAGUGAUCUAGCAACGAGGGGAAGGAGAGUGCAUCUACAUGCCCUUGUAGAUCGCUAAGUGGAAGCGUUCAAGUGAACGGGGUUGAUGAAGUCGUACUCGCCGUGAUCCAAAUCAUCGAUGAUCCUAGCGCCAAACGGACGGCACCUCCGCGUUCAACACACGUACGGUUGGGAGACGUCUCCUCCUUCUUGAUCCAGCAAGGUGGGAGGAGAAGUUGAGGGAAAACUCCGACAGCACGACGGCGUGGUGGUGAUGGAGCUCGUGGUUCUCCGGCAGGGCUUCGCCAAGCACUACGGAGGAGGAUGAGGUGUUGGAGGAGGAAGAGGGCUGCGCCAGGGGAAGGGUGCGGCAGCCCUCUCUCUCCCUCACUAUAUAUAGGGGGAAGGGAGGAGGGGGGGCGCCCUAGGGUUCCCUAGGGGAGGGGCGGCGGCCACAGGGGAAACCCUAGAUGGGUUUGGGCGCCCCCACCCCCUAGGAAACUUGCCCCCAAAGCCGGGAGGGGCGGCUGCCCUAGGGGUGGCGCCCCCACCUCUCCUGGUUACGUGAGAUGGUGUGGGAGGGGUGCUCAGCCCCUUAGUGGGCUGAUGUGCCCUCUCCCCUUGGUCCAUAAGGCCCCCCAACGCUUGCCGGGGCCUCCGAAACCCCUUUCGGACACGCUGGUCAUCACCUGGUACCCCCGGAACAAUUCCGGACUCCAAUACCCUUCGUCCAAUAUACCGAUCUUCACCUCCGGACCAUUCCGGAGCUCCUCGUCAUGUCCAGGAUCUCAUCCGGGACUCCGAACAACCUUCGAUAACCACAUACUAUUUCCCAUAACAACUCUAGCGUCGCCGAACCUUAAGUGUGUAGACCCUACCACUAGUAGAAAAAGGGUCAAACGUGAAGCACAUUAGUGCCGGUUUGUAUUUGAGCCGGCACUAAUGUAUACAUUAGUGCCGGUUCCAACGGCUAGCCGUGCCGCUUUCAUUAGUACCGGUUCGUGGCGAACCUUUAGCACCGGUUCAUGCCACGAACCGAUACUAAUGAGAGUGGUGGCUGGAUGUUAUCAGACUGGGGCCCCUCCAGCCCCUUUAGUACCGGUUCUUGGCACGAACCGGUACUAAAGGUCGUCCUACAUAAACCCUUCGUCCACCCGAGCUCGCUCUGUUCUUCCCCUUUCCCCUCUCCUCUCUCUGUUCUUCCCCUCUUCCUCUCGAGCUCAUCACACAUUUUGCCCAAAAUUUGUCAAGAUUUGAAGGCCCCCAUCCAUUCAAAUGAUCACAAAGGUUAGCAACUUUGUCCUUUCAUCUUUCAUUGCUAGAUUAGCUCUUGCAAUGCUUUAUAUAGUGAUUAAUUUGUGAGUUUAGUAAUUUGGGAGGAUAUAUAUAUAUGUGCUAGUAUUUGAUUUAUAUGCAAUUUGAGGUCAAAAAUAACACUUAGUUUGCAUAUGUAGGUGUGAUUUACUUAGUGCCUUCUAAAUCUCCUCGUAACCACCGUCGAUCGCCCGCACCGUCCCGUCGCCGGCACCACCUUGUGGUGAGCCUCUUGUUCAUGAAAUUUUAUAUAAAAAUUGAUGUUUGUGUGAUUUGGAUAUAUAGUUAUGUUGGGGAACGUAGCAUAAAUUCAAAAUUUUCCUACGUGUCACCAAGAUCAAUCUAUGGAGUCAUCUAGCAACGAGGGAGGAGUGGAUCUACAUACCCUUGUAGAUCGCGCGCGGAAGCGUUCAAGAGAACGGGGUUGAUGGAGUCGUACUCGUCGUGAUCCAAAUCACUGAUGAUCCUAGCGCCGAACGGACGGCACCUCCGCGUUCAACACACGUACGGAGCAGCGACGUCUCCUCCUUCUUGAUCCAGCAAGGGGGAAGGAGAGGUUGAUGGAGAUCCAGCAGCACGACAGCGUGGUGGUGGAAGUAGCGGGAUUCCAACAGGGCUUCGCCAAGCGUCGCGGGAGGAGGGAGAUGUGUCAUGGGAGGGAGAGGGAGGCGCCAGCGCUUAGGUUGGUGCUGCCCUCCCUUCCCCCCACUAUAUAUAGGGCCAAGGGAGAGGGGGGCGCAGCCUUGGCCCUUCCUCCAAGGAAGGGUGCGGCCAGGGAGGAGUCCCUCCUCCCCAAGGCACCUCGGAGGUGCCUUCCCCCUUUAGGACUCUUCCUUUUCCUCUUCUCUUGGCGCAUGGGCCUCUUGGGGCUGGUGCCCUUGGCCCAUAUAGGCCAAGGCGCACCCCCUACAGCCCAUGUGCCCCCCGGGGCAGGUGGCCCCACCCGGUGGACCCCCGGGACCCUUCCGGUGGUCCCGGUACAAUACCGGUGACCCGAAACUUGUCCCGAUGGCCGAAAUAGCACUUCCUAUAUAUAAUUCUUUACCUCCGGACCAUUCCGGAACUCCUCGUGACGUCCGGGAUCUCAUCCGGGACUCCGAACAACUUUCGGGUUACCGCAUAUUAAUAUAUCUAUAACCCUAGUGUCAUCAAACCUUAAGUGUGUAGACCCUACAGGUUCGGGAGACAUGCAGACAUGACCGAGAUGACUCUCCGGUCAAUAACCAACAGCGGGAUCUAGAUACCCAUGUUGGCUCCCACAUGUGCCACGAUGAUCUCAUCGGAUGAACCACGAUGUCAAGGACUUUAUCAAUCCCGUAUACAAUUCCCUUUGUCUAGCGGUACGAUACUUGCCCAAGAUUCGAUCGUCGGUAUCCCGAUACCUUGUUCAAUCUCGUUACCGGCAAGUCUCUUUACUCAUUCCGUAACACAUCAUCCCGUGAUCAACUCCUUGAUCACAUUGUGCACAUUAUGAUGAUGUCCUACCGAGUGGGCCCAGAGAUACCUCUCCGUUUACACGGAGUGACAAAUCCCAGUCUCGAUUCGUGCCAACCCAACAGACACUUUCGGAGAUGCCCGUAGUGUACCUUUAUAGCCACCCAGUUACGUUGUGACGUUUGGCACACCCAAAGCACUCCUACAGUAUCCAGGAGUUGCACAAUCUCAUGGUCUAAGGAAAUGAUACUUGACAUUAGAAAAGCUUUAGCAUACGAACUACACGAUCUAGUGCUAUGCUUAGGAUUGGGUCUUGUCCAUCACAUCAUUCUCCUAAUGAUGUGAUCCCGUUAUCAACGACAUCCAAUGUCCAUGGUCAGGAAACCGUAACCAUCUAUUGAUCAACGAGCUAGUCAACUAGAGGCUUACUAGGGACAUGGUGUUGUCUAUGUAUCCACACAUGUGUCUGAGUUUCCUAUCAAUACAAUUCUAGCAUGGAUAAUAAACGAUUAUCAUGAACAAGGAAAUAUAAUAAUAACUAAUUUAUUAUUGCCUCUAGGGCAUAUUUCCAACAGUCUCCCACUUGCACUAGAGUCAAUAAUCGAGUUCACAUCGAUAUGUGAUUAACACUCAAGGUCACAUCCCCAUGUGACUAACACCCAAAGAGUCUACUAGAGUCAAUAAUCUAAUUCACAUCAUCAUGUGAUUAAGACUCAAUGAGUUCUGGGUUUGAUCAUGUUUUGCUUGUGAGAGAGGUUUUAGUCAACGGGUCUGAAUCUUUCAGAUCCGUAUGUACUUCGCAAAUUUCUUAUGUCAUCUUGUAGAUGCAACUACUACGCUACAUUUGGAGCUAUUCCAAAUAACUGUUCUACUAUACGAAUCCAGUUUACUACUCAGAAUAAUCUGGAUUAGUGUCAAAAUUUGCAUCGGCGUAACCCUUUACGACGAACUAUUUUACCACCUCCAUAAUCGAGAAAAUUCCUUAGUCCACUAGUUACUAAGGAUAACUUUGACCGCUGUCCUGUGAUCCAUUCUUGGAUCACUCUUGUACCCCUUGACUGACUCAUGGCAAGGCACACUUCAGGUGCGGUACACAGCAUAGCAUACUGUUGAGCCUAUGUCUUAAGCAUAGGGGACGACCUUCGUCCUUUCUCUCUAUUCUGCCGUGGUCGAGCUUUAAGUCUUAACUUCAUACCUUACAACUCAGGCAAGAACUCCUUCUUUGACUGAUCCAUCUUGAACACCUUCAAGAUCAUGUCAAGGUAUAUGCUCAUUUGAAAGUACCAUUAAGCGUUUUGAUCUAUCCUUAUAGAUCUUCAUGCUCAAUGUUCAAGUAGCUUGAUCCAGGCUUUCCAUUGAAAAAUACUUUCCAAAUAACCCUAUAUGCUUUCCAGAAAUUCUACGUCAUUUCUGAUCAACAAUAUGUCAACAACAUAUAUUCAUCAGAAAUUCUAUAGUGCUCCCACUCACUUCUUUGGAAAUACAAGUUUCUCAUAAACUUUGUAUAAAUCCAAAGUCUUUGAUCAUCUCAUCAAAGCAUACAUUCCAACUCCGAGAUGCUUACUCCAGUCCUUAGAAGGAUUGCUGGAGCUUUGCAUACUUAUUAGCAUCUUUCAGGAUUGACAAAACCUUCUAUUGUAUCACAUACAACUUUUCUUACGAAAACUUGGUAAGAAAACUUGUUUUGACAUCCUAUCUGCAAGAUUUCAUAAAUAAUGCAGUAAUCGCUAAUAUAAUUCCAACAGACUCUUAGCAUCGCUACGAGUGAGAAAGUCUCAUCAUAGUCAACUCCUUGAACUUGUCGAAAAACAUCUUAACGACAAGUCGAGCUUUCUUAAUGGUGACAUUUACCAUCAUUGUCCGUCUUCCUUUUAAAAUCCAUCUGCACUCAACAGCCUUACGAUCAUCGAGUUGUUCUGCCAAAGUCUACACUUUGUUUUCAUACAUGGAUCCUUUCUCAGAUUUUAUGGCCUCGAGUCAUUUAUCAGAAUCCGGGCCCACCAUCACUCCUCCAUAGCUCGUAGGUUCAUUGUUGUCUAGCAACAUGACUUCCAAGACAGGAUUACGUACCAUUCUGAAGUAGUACGCAUCCUUGUCAUCCCACGAGGUUUCGUAGUGACUUGAUCUGAAGUUUCAUGAUCACUAUCAUAAGCUUCCACUUCAAUUGGUGUAGGUGCCACAGGAACAACUCCCUGUGCCCUGCCACACACUAGUUGAAGAGAUGGUUCAAUAACCUCAUCAAGUCUCCACCAUCCUCCCACUCAAUUCUUUCGAGAGAAACUUUUCCUCAAGAAAGGACCCGAUUCUAGAAAUAAUCCCUUAUUGCUUUCAAAUCUGAGACAGGAGGUAUACCCAACUGUUUUGGGUGUCCUAUGAAGAUGCAUUUAUCCGCUUUGGGUUCGAGCUUAUCAGCCUGAAACUUUUUCACAUAAGCGUCGCAGCCCCAAACUUCUAAGAAAUGACAGCUUAGGUUUCUCUAAACCAUAGUUCAUAUGGUGUCAUCUCAUCGGAAUUACGUGGUGCCCUAUUUAAAGUGAAUGUGGUUGUCUUUAAUGCCUAACCCAUAAACUAUCAUGGUAAUUCAAUAAGAGACAUCAUGGUAUGCAUCAUAUCCAAUAGGGUGCAGUUAUGAUGUUCGGACACACCAUCACACUAUGGUGUUCCAGGCUGUAUUAGUUGUGAAACAAUUUCCACAAUGUCUUAAUUCUGUGCCAAACUCGUAAUUCAGAUAUUCAUCUCUAUGAUCAUAUCAUAAAUAUUUUAUCCUCUUGUCACGACGAUCUUUCAACUUCACCCUGAAAUUACUUGAACCUUUCAAUAAUUCAGACUCGUGAUUCAUCAAGUAAAUAUACUCAAUAUCUAUCAAAUCAUCUGUGAAGUAAGAACAUAACGAUAUCCACUACACGCCUCAGCACUCAUUGGACUGCACACAUCAAAAUGUAUUACUUCCAACAAGUUGCUUUCUAGUUCCAUUUUACUGAAAACGAGGCUUUCAGUCAUCUUGCCCAUGUGGUAUGAUUUGCAUGUCUCAAGUGAUUCAAAAUCAAGUGAGUCCAAACGGUCCAUUUGCAUGGAGUUUCUUCAUGCAUAUACACCAAUAGACAUGGUUCGCAUGCCUCAAACUUUUCAAAAACGAGUGAGCCCAAAGAUCCAUCAACAUGGAGCUUCUUCAUGCGUUUUAUACCGAUAUGACUUACGUGGCAGUGCCACAAGUAGGUGGUACUAUCAUUACUAUCUUAUAUCUUUUGGCAUGAACAUGUGUAUCACUACGAUCGAGAUUCAAUAAACCAUUCAUUUUUAGGUGUAAGACCAUUGAAGGUAUUAUUCAAAUAAACAGAGUAACCAUUAUUCUCUUUAAAUGAAUAACCGUAUUGCGAUAGACAUAAUCCAAUUAUGUCUAUGCUCAACGCAAACACCAAAUAACAAUUAUUUAGGUUUUAAUACCAAUCUCGAUGGUAGAGGGAGCGUGUGAUGCUUGAUCAUAUCAACAUUGGAAACACUUCCAACACAUAUCGUCAGCUCACCUUUAGCUAGUCUCCGUUUAUUCCGUAGCCUUUUGUUUCGAGUUACUAACACUUAGCAACCGAACCGGUAUCUAAUACCCUGGUGCUACUAGGAGUACUAGUAAAGUACACAUCAACAUAAUGUAUAUCCAAUAUACUUCUAUCGACCUUGCCAGCCUUCUAAUCUACCAAGUAUCUAGGGUAAUUCUGCUCCAGUGGUUGUUCCCCUUAUUACAGAAGCACUUAGUCUCGGGUUUGGGUUCAACCUUGGGUUUCUUCACUAGAGCAGCAGCUGAAUUGCCGUUUCAUGAAGUAUCCCUUCUUGCCCUUGCCCUUCUUGAAACUAGUGGUUUCACUAACCAUCAACAAUUGAUGCUCCUUCUUGAUUUCUACUUUCGUGGUGUCAAACAUCGCGAAUAUCACAAGGAUCAUCAUAUAUGUCCCUGAUAUAUUAUAGUUCAUCACGAAGCUCUAGCAGCUUGGUGGUAAUGACUUCGGAGAAACAUCACUUUCUCAUCUGGAAGAUCAACUCCCACUCGAUUCAAAUGAUUGUUGUACUCAGACAAUCUGAGCACAAGCUCAACAAUUGAGCUUUUCUCCCUUAGUUUGCAGGCUAAGAAAAUCGGCGGAGGUCUUAUACCUCUUGACGUGGGCACGAGCCUGAAAUCCCAAUUUCAGCCCUUGAAACAUCUCAUAUGUUUCGCGACGUUUCAAAACCGUCUUCGGUGCCUCAAUUCUAAACCGUUUAACUGAACUAUCACGUAGUUAUCAAAAUGUGUAUGUCAGAUGUUCGCAACAUCCACAGACAACGUUCGAGGUUCAGCACACUGAGCGGUGCAUUAAGGACAUAAGCCUUCUAUGAAGCAACGAGGACAAUCCUCAGUUUACGGACCUAGUCUGCAUAAUUGCUACUAUCAACUUUCAACUAAUUUUUCUCUAGGAACAUAUCUAAACAGUAGAACUAAAGCGUGAGCUACGACAUAAUUUGCAAAGACCUUUUGACUAUGUUCAUGAUAAUUAAGUUCAUCUUGUGAACUCCCACUCAGAUAGACAUCCCUCUAGUCAUCUAAGUGAUUACAUGAUCCGAGUCAACUAGGCCGUGUCCGAUCAUCACGUGAGACGGACUAGUCAACAUCGGUGAACAUCUUCAUGUUGAUCGUAUCUUCUAUACGACUCAUGCUCGACCUUUCGGUCUCUUGUGUUCCGAGGUCAUGUCUGUACAUGCUAGGCUCGUCAAGUCAACCUAAGUGUUUCGCGUGUGUAAAUCUAUCUUACACCCGUUGUAUGUGAACGUCAGAAUCUAACACCCGAUCAUCACGUGGUGCUUCGGAAAAACGAACUGUCGCAACGAUGCACAGUUAGGGGGAACACUUUCUUCAAAUUAUUAUGAGGGAUCAUCUUAAUUUACUACCUCGUUCUAAGUAAACAAGAUGUAUAAACAUGAUAAACAUCACAUGCAAUCAAAUAGUGACAUGAUAUGGCCAUCAUCACUUUGCUCCUCUUGAUCUCCAUCUUCAGGGCUCCAUGAUCAUCAUCGUCACCGGCAUGACACCAUGAUCUCCAUCAUCAUGAUCUCUAUCAUCGUGUCUUCAUGAAGUUGUCUCGUCAACUAUUACUUCUACUACUAUGGCUAACGCUUUAGCAAUAAAGUAAAGUAAUUACAUGACGUUUAAGUUGACACGCAGGUCAUAAAUAAAUAAAGACAACUCCUAUGGCUCUUGCCGAUUGUCAUACUCAUCGACAUGCAAGUCGUGAUUCCUAUUACAAGAACAUGAUCAAUCUCAUACAUCACAUAUAUCAUUCAUCACAUCCUUUUGGCCAUAUCACAUCACAUAGCAUACCCUGCAAAAACAAGUUAGAUGUCCUCUAAUUAUUUUUUGCAUGUUUUACGUGGCUGCUAUGGGUUUCUAGCAAGAACGUUUUUUACCUACGCAAAAACCACAACGUGAUAUGCCAAUUGCUAUUUACCCUUCAUAAGGACCCUUUUCAUCGAAUCCGAUCCGACUAAAGUGGGAGAGACAGACACCCGCUAGCCACCUUAUGCAACUAGUGCAUGUCAGUCGGUGGAACCAGUCUCACGUAAGAGUACGUGUAAGGUCGGUCCGGGCCGCUUCAUCCCACAAUGCCAUCGAAUCAAGAUUGGACUAGUAACGGUAAGCAUAUUGAACAAAAUCAACGCCCACAACUACUUUGUGUUCUACUCGUGCAUAGAAACUACGCAUAGACCUAGCUCAUGAUGCCACUGUUGGGGAACAUAGCAUAAAUUCAAAAUUUUCCUACGUGUCACCAAGAUCAAUCUAUGGAGUCAUCUAGCAACGAGGGAGGAGUGGAUCUACAUACCCUUGUAGAUCGCGCGCGGAAGCGUUCAAGAGAAUGGGGUUGAUGGAGUCGUACUCGUCGUGAUCCAAAUCACCGAUGAUCCUAGCGCCGAACGGACGGCACCUCCGCGUUCAACACACGUACGGAGCAGCGACGUCUCCUCCUUCUUGAUCCAGCAAGGGGGAAGGAGAGGUUGAUGGAGAUCCAACAGCACGACGGCGUGGUGGUGGAAGUAGCGGGAUUCCAACAGGGCUUCGCCAAGCACUGCGGGAGGAGGGAGAUGUGUCAUGGGAGGGAGAGGGAGGCGCCAGGGCUUAGGUUGGUGCUGCCCUCCCUUCCCCCCACUAUAUAUAGGGCCAAGGCAGAGGGGGGGCACAGCCUUGGCCCUUCCUCCAAGGAAGGGUGCGGCCAGGGAGGAGUCCCUCCUCCCCAAGGCACCUCGGAGGUGCCUUCCCCCUUUAGGACUCUUCCUUUUCCUCUUCUCUUUGCGCAUGGGCCUCUUGGGGCUGGUGCCCUUGGCCCAUAUAGGCCAAGGCGCACCCCCUACAGCCCAUGUGGCCCCCGGGGCAGGUGGCCCCACCCGGUGGACCCCCGGGACCCUUCCGGUGGUCCCGGUACAAUACGGGUGACCCCGAAACUUGUCCCGAUGGCCGAAAUAGCACUUCCUAUAUAUAAUUCUUUACCUCCGGACCAUUUCGGAACUCCUCGUGACGUCCGGGAUCUCAUCCGGGACUCCGAACAACUUUCGGGUUACCGCAUACUAAUAUCUCUAUAACCCUAGCGUCACCGAACCUUAAGUGUGUAGACCCUACGGGUUCGGGAGACAUGCAGACAUGACCGAGAUGACUCUCCGGUCAAUAACCAACAGCGGGAUAUGGAUACCCAUGUUGGCUCCCACAUGUUCCACGAUGAUCUCAUCGGAUGAACCACGAUGUCAAGGACUUAAUCAAUCCCGUAUACAAUUCCCUUUGUCUAGCGGUACGAUACUUGCCCGAGAUUCGAUCGUCGGUAUCCCGAUACCUUGUUCAAUCUCGUUACCGGCAAGUCUCUUUACUCGUUCUGUAACACAUCAUCCCGUGAUCAACUCCUUGAUCACAUUGUGCACAUUAUGAUGAUGUCCUACCAAGUGGGCCCAGAGAUACCUCUCCGUUUACACGGAGUGACAAAUCCCAGUCUCGAUUCGUGCCAACCCAACAGACACUUUCGGAGAUACCCGUAGUGUAACUUUAUAGCCACCCAGUUACGUUGUGACGUUUGGCACACCCAAAGCACUCCUACAGUAUCCAGGAGUUGCACAAUCUCAUGGUCUAAGGAAAUGAUACUUGACAUUAGAAAAGCUUUAGCAUACGAACUACACGAUCUAGUGCUAUGCUUAGGAUUGGGUCUUGUCCAUCACAUCAUUCUCCUAAUGAUGUGAUCCCGUUAUCAACGACAUCCAAUGUCCAUGGUCAGGAAACCGUAACCAUCUAUUGAUCAACGAGCUAGUCAACUAGAGGCUUACUAGGGACAUGGUGUUGUCUAUGUAUCCACACAUGUAUCUGAGUUUCCUAUCAAUACAAUUCUAGCAUGGAUAAUAAACGAUUAUCAUGAACAAGGAAAUAUAAUAAUAACUAAUUUAUUAUUGCCUCUAGGGCAUAUUUCCAACAAGUUACUCGUAUAAUUAUCUUACCUGUACGUUGUUUGUUAUACAUAUAGUGCCAUGGUUUUGAUAUCCGUCCCUGUCGGCCCUCGUCCUUGUGAUGAUUCGGAUGUGGUAUAUAUAUUCUCUUUUAAAACUAGUUGCAUUUCGUGUUUAUGACAAAUUAUGCCAAUCAAGUUGACAUAGAAAUUUUUUCUAGGAGGUAUGUGAACCGGAAAUUCCAACCGACCCUAUUGUCGAGAGGUUAAAUUUAGUUGAAAGAGAAAACGAGUACUUGAAAGAAAAUUUGAAAAGAAUUGAGGGGGAGAAGAUGGAAUUGGAGUUGCAUGUUGCCGGUGUCGUCGAUGAUCACAAGAUCAAGAUGGAGAAAAUGCGCUUGAAGAUUAGAAAAUAUGCCAUCGAUAGUGAGGCUUGGUAUCAUUAUGAUGUUGGAUCCAUUGUUACCUUAGUUGCGAUCUUGAUCGCAUUUGUUGUUGCAUUUAAAUGCUUUAGCUAGAGAGUUAUUUGUUUGUUGCAUUAAGUGUUGUUUGAACUUGUAUUAAUUUGGUCUAUUCGGUGUUGUGUAAUGAAGAUGAGCCGACAAUGGAUGUACGAUGACCGAUGCUCUCCCCAGUUCGUUGAGUGUGUGCAUACUUUUCUGCUUGCGGCUGAGGCAAACAAGCGGCGGAUGGUUUUAUGCCUUGUCCAUGUGCUGGCUGUAAGAAUGGUCACAAUUACUCUACGUCAAGAACCAUUCACGUCCACCUGUUUAAGUCCGGUUUCAUGCCCCACUAUAAUGUUUGGACCAAGCAUGGAGAAAGAGGGGUUAUGAUGGAAGACAAUGAAGAAGAAGAGGACGAUGACAGCUAUCCUGGCCAUGGGUUCCCUGAAUACGAUGAUACAACAAUGGGGGAAGAAGCUGAGCCGGUAAUGCGGGAAGAAGCUGAGCUGGCAAUGCGGUAAGAAGCUGAAGAAGAGGCAUCAGAUGAGCCCGUUGAUGAUCUAGGUCGGGCCAUUGCCGAUGCAAAGAGAAACUGCGCAAGUGAUUUGGAGAAGAAGAAGUUGCAGCGCAUGUUAGAGGAUCAUAAAAAAUUGUUGUACCUGAAUUGCGUAGGUGACAAGAAAAAGCUGGGCACCACACUGGAAUUGCUGCAAUGGAAGGCAGAGAAUGGUGUAUCUGACAAGGGAUUUGGAAAGUUGCUGGUAAUGAUAAAGGAUAUGCUUCCAAAGGACAACGAAUUGCCCGAGAGUACGUACAAAGCAAAGAAGGUUGUCUGCCCUCUAGGGUUAGAGGUGCAGAAGAUACAUGCAUGCCCUAAUGAUUGCAUCCUCUACCGCGGUGAGUACGAGGAUUUGAACGCUUGCCCGGUAUGUGGUGCAUUACGCUAUAAGAUCAGCCGCGAUGACCCUGGUGAUGUCGAGGGCGAGCGCCCCAGGAAGAAGAUUCCUGCCAAGGUGAUGUGGUAUGCUCCUAUAAUACCACGGUUGAAACGUUUGUUCCAAAACAAAGAGCAUGCCAAGGCGAUGCGAUGGCACAGAGAAGACCGUAAGAAAGACAGAAAGUUGAGAGUACCCGCUGACGGGUCGCAGUGGAGAAAAAUCGAAAGAAAGUACGGGAAGGAGUUUGCAGAUGACGCAAGGAGCGUAUGGUUUGCUCUAAGCGCAGAUGGCAUUAAUCCUUUUGGGGAGCAGAGCAGCAACCAUAGCACCUGGCCUGUGACUCUAUGUUUGUAUAACCUUCCUCCUUGGUUGUGCAUGAAGCGAAAGUUCAUUAUGAUGCCAGUGCUCAUCCAAGGCCCUAAGCAACCCGGCAAUGACAUUGAUGUGUACCUAAGGCCAUUAGUUGAAAACUAUUACAACUGUGGAAUGGAACAGGUGUACGUGCGUGGGAUGAGCACAUGGGGGAAGAAUUUGACCUAAAGGCGUUGUUGUUCGUGACCAUCAAUGAUUGGCCUGCUCUCAGUAACCUUUCAGGACAGACAAACAAGGGAUACCGCGCAUGCACGCACUGUUUGGACGAUACCGGCAGUAUAUAUUUGGCUAAUUGUAAGAAGAAUGUGUACCUGAGACAUCGUCGAUUUCUUCCGAGCAGGCAUCCCGUAAGAAAGAAAGGCAAGCAUUUCAAAGGUGAGGCGAAUCACCGGACGAAGCCUCGCCACCGUACUAGUGCUGAUGUACUAUCAUCACUUUCUUCUGUGUUUCACACCCAGAAGGGAAUCUCUGUAAUAGUUAGGGUAGUUAAUUAUGUGUUUUGGCAUUUGAAAUGCGAAGAAAUUUUAUGUGCAAACAAAUUCUUUCAUGCCUUUACUGAUUUUUAAAGUUAAGUUAUUCACAAACUAGUGAUUCACACUAAUUUCAAAUAAUUUAAAUUUUAAACUGUUCAAAUUUGAAAACUACGGGCACUAACAGAAAGUUCGUAAUUUUUUGUACCUAAAGCAAAAAUAUUCACAAAGAAACUCUAAAUACACAAAAAAACAACUCAAAAAUAAAUAAAGCAAAAUAAAUAAAUAAAAAGCCCGCCUACUAGGCUAGAGCGGCCUGCAUACGACUAGAAACCCAACCUGUUGUUGGGCCAGGAUGCAGGCCCGCGAAGGCCCAGUAGGCCAAUAGGGCAGCACAGAACAUGUAGGCCCAGUAGGCCUGCUUUGGAGAGGAGCUCGAGAGAGCUACCGCACAGGGGUUUAUAAACCAGUGCGGUAGCCCCUCGGCUAGCGAGGUGGGACUAAACUUGUGCACCGCACCUGCGCCAGCGCACCCCCUUUAGUACCGGUUCGUGGCACCAACCGGUACUAAAGGGGGGCCUUUAGUACCGGUUGGAGCCACCAACCGGUACUAAAGGGGUGCGGUUCCCGCCGCUUGGCCUGGCCAAAACAGGCCUUUAGUAUCGGUUGGUGGCUCCAACCGGUACUAAAGGUGCCUUCUAUAUAUACAACAUUUACGAAAAUUUCAUUCUCCCUCUGUUUCUUCCUCUGUUUCUCCAUUGAAGCACCGCCCACGCGCCUCGAUCGAUCGACGCCGUCGCCGUCNNNNNNNNNNNNNNNNNNNNNNNNNNNNNNNNNNNNNNNNNNNNNNNNNNNNNNNNNNNNNNNNNNNNNNNNNNNNNNNNNNNNNNNNNNNNNNNNNNNNNNNNNNNNNNNNNNNNNNNNNNNNNNNNNNNNNNNNNNNNNNNNNNNNNNNNNNNNNNNNNNNNNNNNNNNNNNNNNNNNNNNNNNNNNNNNNNNNNNNNNNNNNNNNNNNNNNNNNNNNNNNNNNNNNNNNNNNNNNNNNNNNNNNNNNNNNNNNNNNNNNNNNNNNNNNNNNNNNNNNNNNNNNNNNNNNNNNNNNNNNNNNNNNNNNNNNNNNNNNNNNNNNNNNNNNNNNNNNNNNNNNNNNNNNNNNNNNNNNNNNNNNNNNNNNNNNNNNNNNNNNNNNNNNNNNNNNNNNNNNNNNNNNNNNNNNNNNNNNNNNNNNNNNNNNNNNNNNNNNNNNNNNNNNNNNNNNNNNNNNNNNNNNNNNNNNNNNNNNNNNNNNNNNNNNNNNNNNNNNNNNNNNNNNNNNNNNNNNNNNNNNNNNNNNNNNNNNNNNNNNNNNNNNNNCACAAGCAUGAUGAACACACACACACACGUACAUAUGUAUGAAUUAAUCCAUGUAUAUAUUAGUAUAUACGUAUUUUGUAUGUUUAAUUAGUUUAGAUUUUUUAGAUUAUUUUUUUUCACUAGUAUAUAUGUAUGAAUGCAUGUUAGAUGGAUAUAAUUAGUGUUUAAUUAGUAUGGAAAUUUUUUAUAUAAUGUUGUUUUUCAGUUUUUUAAUGGAUGUAUAAAAGUUGUGUUUUCUGUUUUUAGUGUUAAAUGCUUAAUUAGUAUGAAAUAGCAUAUAGAAUUUUGACAUAUGCAAUGAUAGCAUAAUUAGUGUUAUAUAGAAAUGUUAGAAAUUUUAGUUAUCAAAAUCCAAUCAUUAAAAAAAUGUUACUUUUUGCGGGCAUAUAGCUAGUAUUUGUUCUCGACGAUGCCCAGCCCGCAUCCUCGCCGUCGACCCGUCCGCGACGACGUCCGACUGACCCAUGUCCGGGACUGGGCUCCGCCGGGCUGGCACUGGGAGGUGCUGCCUGGAGGGGCGCGCCGCUUGAUGAGGAACCCGGCCCCGAGUCCCGUCGUCGACCCUGAUCUCGUUUGGUGGCGUUCGCGUGGGCCAGUUUCGGUGCGGAGGGAACCGGCCCCGCCGGAGGUGGUACGUCGUUGUGUCAGGGAGGAGGACGAGCACGUCCAUCGCUACAUGGUUGCGUUAGAGGGCGAAAAGUUCUCCAAUACCUGGCAGUUUCUUUAGGGAUCUCACUUCAGCUAUGAUCCUGUGAGGGUUCCUUCUCUUUGGGUGUCCACCGCCCGCGCCACAGGAACCGCGAGUGUCCUAGAUUCUUCUGUAGUAUUCGAUCUUUAAUUAGCUACCUAGUCAGUGAUGUACUAUUCAAUAUUAUAUAUUAUUCGAGACGAUGUAUUCGAAAUUAUAUCUAUUAUUCGAGACGAUGUAUUCGAGAUUAUAUCUAUUAUUCGAGACGAUGUAUUCGAGAUUAUAUCUAUUAUUCGAGACGAUGUAAUUUGAAUACUAAAUUGUUUUAUAUUUCUUUUGGCAUAGUUAAAUAAAAGCUAUGGCGGAUAAUACCGACAGAGAGGGAGAACAGACCAUGUUCGAUAUAAUACGCGGGCCAGAUGAUGAUCAGAAUGAAGAAGAUUAUGACGGCUCCGAAUUUCUAAACAACACCGGAGAGGGUGAUAUGAUAUUCGAUCGCGACGACCGAAUUGAUGAAGUCAUGAACUACGAUUAUGACAAUGACGAAGAACAUGUUGAUCCUGAAACAACAAAGACCGGUGAGGUAUAUAUAUUUAUAUAAGCAGGCAUCUGGUGAUCAUCACAUGUUUUAAUGAGUUGAAGAUAUAUUAAUGAAUCAAUCUUUGUUCUUUCAGCCAUCCGGAUCGAGCAAAUCUUCAGGCAACAAGACGAAACGAGGCCUGAACAAAAAGUUGAAGGAGGGCGUAAAGUAUAAUAUCGAGGCAAUCAGACCUAAUGGCAAACCAUUAGCGCCUAAGAAGAUUGCGGACAAGUUCGUUCGUCGGUGCGGAGUUCUUGUGAAGGACCAACUCCCUAUCUCCCUUCAAGAAUGGAGAGAGCUAGCAAAGCCAUGUCCAGAUCUUACUUUUGUCGACGACAAACAAAAAAGUCUGCUUUGGGAUACUCUCAUGGAACAUUUCACCCUACCAGAUCAUUUCACAGAAGCAGAUGUGCAGAAAGUCAAGGACGUUGCUCUUAGGAAGAUGGCGGUUGCAUUCAAGAACCACAAGAAUCGUGAAUGGGACAAGUACGUCAAGGGAGGAAGGAAGACUCCAGUAUUCAAGGGAACACUAGAGAAUCAAAGUGCUCAUUGGGACGAUUUCGUGAAAUUCAAGGAUUCAGAAUUAGCUAAGGAACGGUCGAGAAUAAACAAGAAGAAUGCCGAAAAAAAGGAUAAGUUCCAUAAGCUGGGACCAGGUGGCUACGCGGUGGCAAUGCCUAAGUGGGAUAAGUCUGAGAAAGAGAUGGAGGAUGCAGUGUCACUCCGGUUACUAAGAGCUGGCCCCCCAGGUGCAGGACUUGGUUCUAUGCGCAUGGGGGGGAGUUGGACCCGAAGACAGGCAAAGUUUCGACGAAGGCAUGUCUGAACGGAGCCGACGAUAAUAUACUUGUUGCAAUAGAAGAGGCUCGAACGGGGGUGUUCCAGCCCAACAGAGAGAACGACGAGCUUACGCGUGCCCUGGGAAAUCCUGAACACCCGGGAAGAACACGAGGCAAGGGCGCUAUUCCGUGGUAUGAGGGGUUUUCGGACUGGAAUGCCGACUACAGAACCCGUGCGAGAAGGAAGAUUGCGGAGGAGAAGCAAAGGAAGAUGGAGGAGGAGAAGAGGAAGCUGGACUAUGAACGCCUUCGAGGCCUAGAAUCAGCGCACGCGGACUUGGUAGUCAAAUUCCAGUGGCAGCAGGAGCAGAUCGACUCACUUAGCCAGCAAAGGGGGUCUCAGCAGCUGCAGCAGCUAGCUGAUGAGCCAGCACUGCAUACCACUGUUGGAAAUAUGCCCUAGAGGCAAUAAUAAAUUGAUUAUUAUUAUAUUUCCUUGUUCAUGAUAAUCGUUUAUUAUCCAUGCUAGAAUUGUAUUGAUAGGAAACUCAGAUACAUGUGUGGAUACAUAGACAACACCAUGUCCCUAGUAAGCCUCUAGUUGACUAGCUCGUUAAUCAAUAGAUGGUUACGGUUUCCUGACCAUGGACAUUGGAUGUCGUUGAUAACGGGAUCACAUCAUUAGGAGAAUGAUGUGAUGGACAAGACCCAAUCCUAAGCCUAGCACAAGAUCAUGUAGUUCGUAUGCUAAAGCUUUUCUAAUGUCAAGUAUCAUUUCCUUAGACCAUGAGAUUGUGCAACUCCCGGAUACCGUAGGAGUGCUUUGGGUGUGCCAAACGUCACAACGUAACUGGGUGGCUAUAAAGGUACACUACGGGUAUCUCUGAAAGUGUCUGUUGGGUUGGCACGAAUCGAGAUUGGGAUUUUGUCACUCCGUGUAAACGGAGAGGUAUCUCUGGGCCCACUCGGUAGGACAUCAUCAUAAUGUGCACAAUGUGACCAAGGGGUUGAUCACGGGAUGAUGUGUUACGGAACGAGUAAAGAGACUUGCCGGUAACGAGAUUGAACAAGGUAUCGGUAUACCGACGUGAUCUUGACGUGAGCACAUGCCUUGACGUGAUCUUGAAGGUGUUCAAGAUGGAUCAGUCAAAGAAGGAGUUCUUGCCUGAGUUGUAAGGUAUGAAGUUAAGACUUAAAGCUCGACCAUGGCAGAAUAGAGAGAAAGGAACGAAGGUCGUCCCCUAUGCUUAAGACAUAGGCUCUACAGUAUGCUAUGCUGUGUACCGCACCUGAAGUGUGCUUUACCAUGAGUCAGUCAAGGGGUACAAGAGUGAUCCAAGAAUGGAUCACAGGACAGCGGUCAAAGUUAUCCUUAGUAACUAGUGGACUAAGGAAUUUUCUCAAUUAUGGAGGUGGUAAAAGAGUUCGUCGUAAAGGGUUACGUCGAUGCAAGCUUAACACCUAUCCGGAUAGCUCUGAGUAGAGAUACCGGAUACGUAUAAUGGAGCAACAAUUUAGAAUAGCUCCAAGUAGAACAGUUAUUUGGAAUAGCUCCAAAUAGAACGUGGUAGCUGCAUCUAGGAGAUGACAUAGAGAUUUGUAAAGCACACACGGAUCUGAAAGGUUCAGACCCGUUGACUAUAACCUCUCUCACAAGCAUAACAUGAUCAAAUCCAGAACUCAUCGAGUGUUAAUCACAUGGUAAAUGUGAACUAGAUUAUUGACUCUAGUAAACUCUUUGGGUGUUAGUCACAUGGGGAUGUGACCUUGAGUGUUAAUCACAUAUCGAUGUGAACUAGAUUAUUGACUCUAGUGCAAGUGGGAGACUGUUGGAAAUAUGCCCUAGAGGCAAUAAUAAAUUGAUUAUUAUUAUAUUUUCUUGUUCAUGAUAAUCGUUUAUUAUCCAUGCUAGAAUUGUAUUGAUAGGAAACUCAGAUACAUGUGUGGAUACAUAGACAACACCAUGUCCCUAGUAAGCCUCUAGUUGACUAGCUCGUUAAUCAAUAGAUGGUUACGGUUUCCUGACCAUGGACAUUGGAUGUCGUUGAUAACGGGAUCACAUCAUUAGGAGAAUGAUGUGAUGGACAAGACCCAAUCCUAAGCCUAGCACAAGAUCAUGUAGUUCGUAUGCUAAAGCUUUUCUAAUGUCAAGUAUCAUUUCCUUAGACCAUGAGAUUGUGCAACUCCCGGAUACCGUAGGAGCGCUUUGGGUGUGCCAAACGUCACAACGUAACUGGGUGGCUAUAAAGGUACACUACGGGUAUCUCUGAAAGUGUCUGUUGGGUUGGCACGAAUCGAGAUUGGGAUUUUGUCACUCCGUGUAAACGGAGAGGUAUCUCUGGGCCCACUCGGUAGGACAUCAUCAUAAUGUGCACAAUGUGACCAAGGGGUUGAUCACGGGAUGAUGUGUUACGGAACGAGUAAAGAGACUUGCCGGUAAUGAGAUUGAACAAGGUAUCGGUAUACCGACGAUCGAAUCUCGGGCAAGUACCAUACCGCUAGACAAAGGGAAUUGUAUACGGGAUUGAUUGAGUCCUUGACAUCGUGGUUCAUCCGAUGAGAUCAUCGUGGAACAUGUGGGAGCCAACAUGGGUAUCCAGAUCCCGCUGUUGGUUAUUGACCGGAGAACAUCUCGGUCAUGACUACAUGUCUCCCGAACCCGUAGGGUCUACACACUUAAGGUUCGAUGACGCUAGGGUUAUAAAGGAAGUUUGUAUGUGGUUUCCGAAUGUUGUUCGGAGUCCCGGAUGAGAUCCCGGACGUCACGAGGAGUUCCGGAAUGGUCCGGAGGUAAAGAUUUAUAUAUAGGAAGUCCUGUUUCGGCCAUCGGGACAAGUUUUCGGGUCAUCGGUAUUGUACCGGGACCACCGGAAGGGUCCCGGGGGCCCACCGGGUGGGGCCACCUGCCCCGGGGGCCACAUGGGCUGUAGGGGGUGCGCCUUGGCCUACAUGGGCCAAGGGCACCAGCCCCUAGAGGCCCAUGCGCCAAGAUAUAGGAAAAAGGGGAGAGUCCUAAAGGGGGAAGGCACCUCCGAGGUGCCUUGGGGAGGAUGGACUCCUCCCCCCUCUUAGCCGCACCCCUUCCUUGGAGGAAGGGGCAAGGCUGCGCCUCCCCCCUCUCCCCUGCCCCUAUAUAUAGUGGAGGGGAGGGAGGGCAUCCAUACCUGAGCCCUUGGCGCCUCCCUCCCUCCCGUGACACCUCCUCCUCUCCCGUAGGUGCUUGGCGAAGCCCUGCAGGAUUGUCACGCUCCUCCAUCACCACCACGCCGUUGUGCUACUGCUGGAUGGAGUCUUCCUCAACCUCUCCCUCUCUCCUUGCUGGAUCAAGGCGUGGGAGACAUCGUCGAGCUGUACGUGUGUUGAACGCGGAGGUGCCGUCCGUUCGGCACUAGGAUCAUCGGUGAUCUGAAUCACGACGAGUACGACUCCAUCAACCCCGUUCACUUGAACGCUUCCGCUUAGCGAUCUACAAGGGUAUGUAGAUGCACUCCCCUUUCUACUCGUUGCUGGUCUCUCCAUAGAUAGAUCUUGGUGUUACGUAGGAAAUUUUUUGAAUUUCUUCUACGUUCCCCAACAGUGGCAUCAUGAGCUAGGUCUAUUACGUAGAUUCUUUGCACGAGUAGAACACAAAGUAGUUGUGGGCGUCGAUAUUGUUCAAUAUGCUUGCCGUUACUAGUCUUAUCUUGAUUCGGCGGCAUCGUGGGAUGAAGCGGCCCGGACCAACCUUACACGUACGCUUACGUGAGACCGGUUCCACCGACAAACAUGCACUAGUUGCAGAAGGUGGCUGGCGGGUGUCUGUCUCUCCCACUUUAGUCGGAUCGGAUUCGAUGAAAAGGGUCCUUAUGAAGGGUAAAUAGCAAUUGGCAUAUCACGUUGUGGUUCAUGCGUAGGUAAGAAACGUUCUUGCUAGAAACCCAUAGUAGCCACGUAAAACAUGCAAACAACAAUUAGAGGACGUCUAACUUGUUUUUGCAGGGUAUGCUAUGUGAUGUGAUAUGGCCAAAAAGGAUGUGAUGAAUGAUAUAUGUGAUGUAUGAGAUUGAUCAUGUUCUUGUAAUAGGAAUCACGACUUGCAUGUCGAUGAGUAUGACAACCGGCAGGAGCCAUAGGAGUUGUCUUUAUUUAUUUGUGACCUGCGUGUCAACUUAAACGGCAUGUAAUUACUUUACUUUAUUGCUAACCGUUAGCCAUAGUAGUAGAAGUAAUAGUUGGCGAGGCAACUUCAUGAAGACACGAUGAUGGAGAUCAUGAUGAUGGAGAUCAUGGUGUCAUGCCGGUGACGAUGAUGAUCAUGGAGCCCCGAAGAUGGAGAUCAAAAGGAGCAAAGUGAUGAUGGCCAUAUCAUGUCACUAUUUGAUUGCAUGUGAUGUUUAUCAUGUUUAUACAUCUUAUUUGCUUAGAACGACGGUAGUAAAUAAGAUGAUCCCUUACAACAAUUUCAAGAAGUGUUCUCCCCUAACUGUGCACCGUUGCGACAGUUCGUGUUUCGAAGCACCACGUGAUGAUCGGGUGUUAGAUUCUAACAUUCACAUACAACGGGUGUAAGACAGAUUUACACACGCGAAACACUUAGGGUUAACUUGACGAGCCUAGCAUGUACAGACAUGGCCUCGGAACACGGAGACCGAAAGGUCGAACAUGAGUCGUAUAGAAGAUACGAUCAACAUGAAGAUGUUCACCGAUGAUGACUAGUCUGUCUCACAUGAUGAUCGGACACGGCCUAGUUUGACUCGGAUCAUGUAAUCACUUAGAUGACUAGAGGGAUGUCUAUCUGAGUGGGAGUUCAUAAGAUGAACUUAAUUAUCCUGAACAUAGUCAAAAGGUUUUUGCAAAUUAUGUCGUAGCUCACGCUAUAGUUCUACUGUUUAGAUAUGUUCCUAGAAAAAAAUUAGUUGAAAGUUGAUAGUAGCAAUUAUGCGGACUAGGUCCGUAAACUGAGGAUUGUCCUCAUUGCUUCAUAGAAGGCUUAUGUCCUUAAUGCACCGCUCAGUGUGCUGAACCUCGAACGUUGUCUGUGGUUGUUGCGAACAUCUGACAUACACGUUUUGAUAACUACGUGAUAGUUCAGUUAAACGGUUUAGAGUUGAGGCACCAAAGACGUUUUUGAAACAUCGCGAAACAUAUGAGAUGUUUUGAGGGCUGAAAUUAGGAUUUCAGGCUCGUGCCCAUGUCAAGAGGUAUAAGACCUCCGAUGACUUUCUUAACCUGCAAACUAAGGAGAAAAGCUCAAUUGUUGAGCUUGUGCUCAGAUUGUCUGAGUACAACAAUCAUUUGAAUCGAGUGGGAGUUGAUCUUCCAGAUAAGACAGUGAUGGUUCUCCAAAGUCAUUGCCACCAAGCUGUUAGAGCUUCGUGAUGAACUAUAACAUAUCAGGGAUAGAUAUGAUGAUCCUUGAGGUAUUCGCGAUGUUUGACACCGCGAAAGUAGAAAUCAAGAAGGAGCAUCAAUUGUUGAUGGUUGGUGAAACCACUAGUUUCAAGAAGGGCAAGGGCAAGAAGGGAUACUUCAUGAAACGGCAAAUCAGCUGCUGCUCUACUGAAGAAACCCAAGGUAAAACCCAAACCCGAGACUAAGUGCUUCUGUAAUAAGGGGAACAACCACUAGAGCAGAAUUACCCUAGAUACUUGGUAGAUAAGAAGGCUGGCAAGGUCGAUAGAAGUAUAUUGGAUAUACAUUGUGUUAAUGUGUACUUUGCUAGUACUCCUAGUAGCACCAGGGUAUUAGAUACCGGUUCGGUUGCUAAGUGUUAGUAACUCGAAACAAAAGGCUACGGAAUAAACGGAGACUAGCUAAAGGAGAGCUGACGAUAUGUGUUGGAAGUUUUUCCAAGCUUGAUAUGAUCAAGCAUCGCACGCUCCCUCUACCAAAGAGAUUGGUGUUAAACCUAAAUAAUUGUUAUUUGGUGUUUGCGUUGAGCAUAGACAUGAUUGGAUUACGUCUAUCGCAAUACGGUUAUUCAUUUAAGGAGAAUAAUGGUUACUCUGUUUAUUUGAAUAAUACCUUCAAUGGUCUUACACCUAAAAUGAAUGGUUUAUUAAAUCUCGAUCGUAGUGAUACACAUGUUCAUGCCAAAAGAUAGUAAUGAUAGUACCACCUACUUGUGGCACUGCCACGUAAGUCAUAUCGGUAUAAAACGCAUGAAGAAGCUCCAUAUUGAUGGAUCUUUGGGCUCACUCAUUUUUGAAAAGUUUGAGACAUGCGAACCAUGUCUAUUGGUGUAUAUGCAUGAAGAAACUCCAUGCAAAUGGACCGUUUUGACUCACUUGAUUUUGAAUCACUUGGGACAUGCAAAUCAUACCACACGGGCAAGAUGACUGAAAAGCCUCGUUUUCAGUAAGAUGGAACAAGAUAGCAACUUGUUGGAAGUAAUACAUUUUGAUGUGUACAGUCCAAUGAGUGCUGAGGCAUGUAGUGGAUAUUGUUAUGUUCUUACUUCACAGAUAAUUUGAGUGGAUGUUGAGUACAUUUACUUGAUGAAUCAUGAGUCUGAAUUAUUGAAAGGUUCAAGUAAUUUCAGGGUGAAGUUGAAAGAUCGUCGUGACAAGAGGAUAAAAUAUCUAUGAUAUGAUCAUAGAGAUGAAUAUCUGAAUUGCGAGUUUGGCACAGAAUUAAGACAUUGUGGAAAUAGUUUCACAACUAAUACAGCCUGGAACACCAUAGUGUGAUGGUGUGUCCGAACAUCAUAACUGCACCCUAUUGGAUAUGAUGCAUACCAUGAUGUCUCUUAUCGAAGUACCACUAUAGUUUAUGGGUUAGGCAUUAGAGACAACCACAUUCACUUUAAAUAGGGCACCACGUAAUUCCGUUGAGAUGACACCGUAUGAAUUAUGGUUUAGAGAAACCUAAGUUGUCGUUUCUUAAAAGUUUGGGGCUGCGACGCUUAUAUGAAAAAGUUUCAGGUUGAUAAGCUCGAACCCAAAGCGGAUAAAAUGCAUCUUCAUAGGAAACCCAAAACAGUUGGGUAUACCUCCUAAUUCAGAUCUGAAAGCAAUAUGGAUUGUUUCUAGAAUCGGGUCCUUUCUCGAGGAAAAGUUUCUCUCGAAAGAAUUGAGUGGGAGGAUGGUGGAGACUUGAUGAGGUUAUUGAACCGUCUCUUCAACUAGUGUGUGACAGGGCACAGGGAGUUGUUCCUGUGGCACCUACACCAAUUGAAGUGGAAGCUUAUGAUAUUGAUCAUGAAGCUUCGGAUCAAGUCACUCCCAAACCUCGUAGGAUGACAAGGAUGCGUACUACUUCAGAGUGGUACGUAAUCCUGUCUUGGAAGUCAUGUUGCUAGACAACAAUGAACCUACGAGCUAUGGAGAAGCGAUGGUGGGCCCGGAUUCCGAUAAAUGGCUCAAGGCCAUAAAACCCGAGAGAGGAUCCAUGUAUGAAAACAAAGUGUAGACUUUGGAAGAACUACUUGAUGGUCGUAAGGCUGUUAGGUACAUAUGGAUUUUAAAAGGAAGAUGGACAAUGAUGGUAAGUGUCACCAUUGAGAAAGCUCGACUUGUCGUUAAGAUGUUUUUCGACAAGUUCAAGGAGUUGACUACGAUGAGACUUUCUCACUCGUAGCGAUGCUAAGAGUCUGUUGGAAUUAUAUUAGCAAUUACUGCAUUAUUUAUGAAAUCUUGCAGAUAGGAUGUCAAAACAUUAUUUCCUCGACGAUUCUUGAGGAAAGGUUGUAUGUGAUACAACCGGAAGGUUUUGUCUAUCCUGAAAUAUGCUAAUAAGUAUGCAAAGCUCCAGCAAUCCUUCUGAGGACUGGAGUGAGCAUCUCGGAGUUGGAAUGUAUGCUUUGAUGAUGAUCAAAGAUUUUGGGUGUAUACAAAGUUUAUGAGUAACUUGUAUUUCCAAAGAAGUGAGUGGGAGCACUAUAGAAUUUCUGAUGAGUAUAUGUUGUUGACAUAUUAAUGAUCAGAAAUGACGUAGAAUUUCUGGAAAGCAUAUAGGGUUAUUUGGAAAGUAUUUUUCAAUGGAAAAGCCUGGAUUAAGCUACUUGAACAUUGAGCAUCAAGAUCUAUAAAGAUAGAUCAAAACGCUUAAUAGUACUUUCAAAUGAGCACAUACCUUGACGUGAUCUUGAAGGUGUUCAAGAUGGAUCAGUCAAAGAAGGAGUUCUUGCCUGAGUUGUAAGGUAUGAAGUUAAGCUCGACCAUGGCAGAAUAAAGAGAAAGGAACGAAGGUCGUCCCCUAUGCUUAAGACAUAGGCUCUACAGUAUGCUAUGCUGUGUACCGCACCUGAAGUGUGCUUUACCAUGAGUCAGUCAAGGGGUACAAGAGUGAUCCAAGAAUGGAUCACAGGACAGCGGUCAAAGUUAUCCUUAGUAACUAGUGGACUAAGGAAUUUUCUCAAUUAUGGAGGUGGUAAAAGAGUUCAUCGUAAAGGUUUACGUCGAUGCAAGCUUAACACCUAUCCGGAUAGCUCUGAGUAGAGAUACCGGAUACGUAUAAUGGAGCAACAAUUUAGAAUAGCUCCAAGUAGAACAGUUAUUUGGAAUAGCUCCAAAUAGAACGUGGUAGCUGCAUCUAGGAGAUGACAUAGAGAUUUGUAAAGCACACACGGAUCUGAAAGGUUCAGACCCGUUGACCAUAACCUCUCUCACAAGCAUAACAUGAUCAAACCCAGAACUCAUCGAGUGUUAAUCACAUGGUAAAUGUGAACUAGAUUAUUGACUCUAGUAAACUCUUUGGGUGUUAGUCACAUGGGGAUGUGACCUUGAGUGUUAAUCACAUAUCGAUGUGAACUAGAUUAUUGACUCUAGUGCAAGUGGGAGACUGUUGGAAAUAUGCCCUAGAGGCAAUAAUAAAUUGAUUAUUAUUAUAUUUCCUUGUUCAUGAUAAUCGUUUAUUAUCCAUGCUAGAAUUGUAUUGAUAGGAAAUUCAGAUACAUGUGUGGAUACAUAGACAACACCAUGUCCCUAGUAAGCCUCUAGUUGACUAGCUCGUUAAUCAAUAGAUGGUUACGGUUUCCUGACCAUGGACAUUGGAUGUCGUUGAUAACGGGAUCACAUCAUUAGGAGAAUGAUGUGAUGGACAAGACCCAAUCCUAAGCCUAGCACAAGAUCAUGUAGUUCGUAUGCUAAAGCUUUUCUAAUGUCAAGUAUCAUUUCCUUAGACCAUGAGAUUGUGCAACUCCCGGAUACCGUAGGAGUGCUUUGGGUGUGCCAAACGUCACAACGUAACUGGGUGGCUAUAAAGGUACACUACGGGUAUCUCUGAAAGUGUCUGUUGGGUUGGCACGAAUCGAGAUUGGGAUUUUGUCACUCCGUGUAAACGGAGAGGUAUCUCUGGGCCCACUCGGUAGGACAUCAUCAUAAUGUGCACAAUGUGACCAAGGGGUUGAUCACGGGAUGAUGUGUUACGGAACGAGUAAAGAGACUUGCCGGUAACGAGAUUGAACAAGGUAUCGGUAUACCGACGUGAUCUUGACGUGAGCACAUGCCUUGACGUGAUCUUGAAGGUGUUCAAGAUGGAUCAGUCAAAGAAGGAGUUCUUGCCUGAGUUGUAAGGUAUGAAGUUAAGACUUAAAGCUCGACCAUGGCAGAAUAGAGAGAAAGGAACGAAGGUCGUCCCCUAUGCUUAAGACAUAGGCUCUACAGUAUGCUAUGCUGUGUACCGCACCUGAAGUGUGCUUUACCAUGAGUCAGUCAAGGGGUACAAGAGUGAUCCAAGAAUGGAUCACAGGACAGCGGUCAAAGUUAUCCUUAGUAACUAGUGGACUAAGGAAUUUUCUCAAUUAUGGAGGUGGUAAAAGAGUUCGUCGUAAAGGGUUACGUCGAUGCAAGCUUAACACCUAUCCGGAUAGCUCUGAGUAGAGAUACCGGAUACGUAUAAUGGAGCAACAAUUUAGAAUAGCUCCAAGUAGAACAGUUAUUUGGAAUAGCACCAAAUAGAACGUGGUAGCUGCAUCUAGGAGAUGACAUAGAGAUUUGUAAAGCACACACGGAUCUGAAAGGUUCAGACCCAUUGACUAUAACCUCUCUCACAAGCAUAACAUGAUCAAACCCAGAACUCAUCGAGUGUUAAUCACAUGGUAAAUGUGAACUAGAUUAUUAACUCUAGUAAACUCUUUGGGUGUUAGUCACAUGGGGAUGUGACCUUGAGUGUUAAUCACAUAUCGAUGUGAACUAGAUUAUUGACUCUAGUGCAAGUGGAAGACUGUUGGAAAUAUGCCCUAGAGGCAAUAAUAAAUUGAUUAUUAUUAUAUUUCCUUGUUCAUGAUAAUUGUUUAUUAUCCAUGCUAGAAUUGUAUUGAUAGGAAACUCAGAUACAUGUGUGGAUACAUAGACAACACCAUGUCCCUAGUAAGCCUCUAGUUGACUAGCUCGUUAAUCAAUAGAUGGUUACGGUUUCCUGACCAUGGACAUUGGAUGUCGUUGAUAACGGGAUCACAUCAUUAGGAGAAUGAUGUGAUGGACAAGACCCAAUCCUAAGCCUAGCACAAGAUCAUGUAGUCCGUAUGCUAAAGCUUUUCUAAUGUCAAGUAUCAUUUCCUUAGACCAUGAGAUUGUGCAACUCCCGGAUACCGUAGGAGUGCUUUGGGUGUGCCAAACGUCACAACGUAACUGGGUGGCUAUAAAGGUACACUACGGGUAUCUCUGAAAGUGUCUGUUGGGUUGGCACGAAUCGAGAUUGGGAUUUUGUCACUCCGUGUAAACGGAGAGGUAUCUCUGGGCCCACUCGGUAGGACAUCAUCAUAAUGUGCACAAUGUGACCAAGGGGUUGAUCACGGGAUGAUGUGUUACGGAACGAGUAAAGAGACUUGCCGGUAACGAGAUUGAACAAGGUAUCGGUAUACCGACGAUCGAAUCUCGGGCAAGUACCAUACCGCUAGACAAAGGGAAUUGUAUACGGGAUUGAUUGAGUCCUUGACAUUGUGGUUCAUCCGAUGAGAUCAUCGUGGAACAUGUGGGAGCCAACAUGGGUAUCCAGAUCCCGCUGUUGGUUAUUGACCGGAGAACAUCUCGGUCAUGACUACAUGUCUCCCGAACCCGUAGGGUCUACACACUUAAGGUUCGAUGACGCUAGGGUUAUAAAGGAAGUUUGUAUGUGGUUUCCGAAUGUUGUUCGGAGUCCCAGAUGAGAUCCCGGACGUCACGAGGAGUUCCGGAAUGGUCCGGAGGUAAAGAUUUAUAUAUAGGAAGUCCUGUUUCGGCCAUCGGGACAAGUUUCGGGGUCAUCGGUAUUGUACCGGGACCACCGGAAGGGUCCCGGGGGCCCACCGGGUGGGGCCACCUGCCCCGGGGGGCCACAUGGGCUGUAGGGGGUGCGCCUUGGCCUACAUGGGCCAAGGGCACCAGCCCCUAGAGGCCCAUGCGCCAAGAUAUAGGAAAAAGGGGAGAGUCCUAAAGGGGGAAGGCACCUCCGAGGUGCCUUGGGGAGGAUGGACUCCUCCCCCCCUCUUAGCCGCACCCCUUCCUUGGAGGAAGGGGCAAGGCUGCGCCUCCCCCCUCUCCCCUGCCCCUAUAUAUAGUGGAGGGGAGGGAGGGCAUCCAUACCUGAGCCCUUGGCGCCUCCCUCCCUCCCGUGACACCUCCUCCUCUCCCGUAGGUGCUUGGCGAAGCCCUGCAGGAUUGUCACGCUCCUCCAUCACCACCACGCCGUUGUGCUGCUGCUGGAUGGAGUCUUCCUCAACCUCUCCCUCUCUCCUUGCUGGAUCAAGGCGUGGGAGACAUCGUCGAGCUGUACGUGUGUUGAACGCGGAGGUGCCGUCCGUUCGGCACUAGGAUCAUCGGUGAUCUGAAUCACGACGAGUACGACUCCAUCAACCCCGUUCACUUGAACGCUUCCGCUUAGCGAUCUACAAGGGUAUGUAGAUGCACUCUCCUUCCCUCGUUGCUAGUCUCUCCAUAGAUAGAUCUUGGUGACACGUAGGAAAAUUUUGAAUUUCUGCUACGUUCCCCAACAACCACCGCCCCAUCCAUGCCGAGAAGCAGUGUGGGUUCCGCCCCGUUUGACGCAAUGCUGGAUAGAUACCCCGUGGAUCAUCGCGGAGAACACUAACUGCAAGCUACACUUCAAAAUUAAGAACAUAUCCUUGAAGGUGGCGGACGGCGUUGCUUAUACAAAUUCCCCCGAUGCAACCUUUCAUUGCAACCCGAUUCCAGCAGGCUAUGCUCGUGUCGUGGUUGAUGAGGUGGUGGACCAAUAUUCAGGGCUAGAGCUUGACAUUCCUGGAGGUGACGAGGAGCACACACUCGGAGAUGCCAAACAUUGUAUCAUCCUAUGGAGAAAGGAUUGCAUCAUCUUUCGAAGGCCACCGACACCGCGUCACCCGACUCCUCGUUGAAGUCCGCCACCGAGUCAGCAGACUCCCGCUUCUCCAAGUCCACCAACGCGUGAGGCCACUCCUCCUCCUCCAAGUCCGGCAAAGUGUCAGGCCACUCCUCCUCCAAGUCCGACACAGCGUAAGACGUCCACUCCUCCUCCAAGUCCGGCACAACCUCAGGCCACUCCUCCUCCAAGUCCGGCACAGCUUCAGGCCACUCCUGCUCGUCCAACUCAGCCCCGUCAGCCGUCUCCGCCGCCUCAGCAAUCGCAUAAGAGACACCCCGUAGCUAUGGUGCGUAGCGGUAUGAGUCGAGGUCAUAGUAUAGGAAGUACAGGCGGAGGCAAGCGAUAUAAAUAUGGUCCAAACCUCACUACUCCUCUUCCUGAGAGGGCUUACGACAGGACUGAGGAGCAAACCAAUGCCAUAGUGCGGGCAGAAGUCGACGCCCAUUUUGGACCGAAACCGCCACCGCCGCCAAGGGAGAAAGUGCAUGUGGAAGUAGUUGACCACUUCAUUCGUAUGGCUCAACCACCAGCUCCUAAGCCUGUUGACACAGACUAUGAGCGCCACAUCAGGAAGUUACAUCGACAACGUCUAUAGAAGGAGGCGAGCUCGAGCUCGAGCAAACAACAAGCAGCUGUUAAAAAAUGCGGGAAAACCGUUGCCCAGCUGGGAGAACAGGCGGCGCAAUCGAUCCCCCCGCUUGUUGUGCCGCCAACAACACGUGACAGUACGCGCGCCCAAUAUUAUUGUGGGCAAACAGUUUACGUUCCCGAGGUGGGCGAUGUGGUAAUAACCCAGAAGCAUAUAAUGCAGGCUGAAACUCUCAACAUCACUAUUGGACAACUCCACGAGAUCGAGGACAUGCCUAUGCUUAUAGAGGAGGAAAUAAAACGGAAAUAUGCCUGGGGCCAACCUUUGGUCAAGCCAGAAGAGGUCAAGAAGCUCCCAACGAGAAUGUAUGAAUUGCAUCAAUGGUACAUGGACAUUACCAAGAGAUCCGAUCGAGAGUCCCUCAUGGUGCAAGUCAAGAAGGAUCAUUACUACCAUUAGAAACCUGUGACCGUUGAGUAUUCUGAACUGUUUCAGUUAUACAAUCAAGACACAAUCGACAAAUCUAUCGUCAGUUGCUAUUGUCUAUAAGUGAUUUCUUUCUGUAAUUUAAGUCUCAAGCUAGCUGUAGUGAUCCUUUUGAUCAAUCAUUACCUGUAAUUAUCCUCACUAUAUUCUUUUUUGUGGUAUUAUGCAGGAUGAAGAUGUAUGAAAUGAGAAAAGUUGGACGCUAUGGCAUUGGGUUCAUUGACCCAAACACCGUUAAUGAAUACACAUGGAAAAUAAACAAGCAUCAUGAAAAGCAGGUAGAGGACAGCAUGCUAGAGUUCUUGAAGCGCCUCAAAUACAAUGAAGAUAUACUACUUCCUUACAACUUCCAGUGAGUCACACUUUCUUGUACUACAAAUUCUCUAUUUUUGCCUACUAGCUAGCUACAUGUUUUUGCUUACAUAUGCCCGCUUAAUUAAGACAUGCAAACGUGUGUGCAUGCAGAUUUCACUGGAUCUUGUGUAUCAUUAAAGUUGACGCCGGAACAGUUGAAAUACUGGACUCACUACUCAAAGCAAAUAGUGACUAUAACAUCUUGUUUGGGAUAGUCAACAGGUAAUUUCAAUCAUUAUUAACUAUAUAUCUCGGCCUAUUUAGUUCGUCAUUUCAUGAUAUGAACUAUUUAAUAACCCCUUUAUUCAUUUUCUUUGUCGGCAGGCAGGGCUUGGGCAAGGUUCAUCAGCGUCACGGAAGGCGAAUGGAAACGACGGCUGAAAUGGUUUCGACCCAAGGUAAGUAAUUAAGUAGUACUAGCUAGCUAGCUAGCUGCCAUCUCUUUAAUUAUCGUGCUUGAUUAAUUAUUAUCUGAUCAAAUUAAAUUCUAUUCUUGUAAUAAAGGCCCUGAAGCAGGCGCAGGGGACUGAUCUGUGUGCAUUCUGCGUUUGCGAGAACAUUCGCAUGAUGGCGUCCGAAAGGAGCAGAUCUCAAAGACAGGAAUGGGUACGCUUGUCAGAAUACUAUUCACAAUUUUUACACCAUUAUCGAUAUCUAGUCACACAACUAAUACACAUGCAUAUUGAUCUCCUUCUUAACAGUUCACAGAGGUGCGGGACAAGCUCCUAGAAACGGAGCGCGUAGAAGCACUUCAAGAGGAAAUAGCGGGAUUUUUGCUCGACCAGGUCAUAAAUCCGAAGGGAGAAUACUAUUACUCGCUACCGCCCCCAUCGACCAGGUCAUGAACCACUUCCAAUUGUCAUCGUGCUCCGAAGGCACCAAUUAGGCUAAUGCCACUGGCUCCGAAGGCAACAUGCAUAUGUAGGAGAAAUUGUAUAUAGUUAUACAUGUGUGUAUGUGUGAAUUAAUAUGGUGGUUUGUGAGACAUUGAUGAUAUAUAUAUGAUUGGUUCUACUAGAAAUUCUAUUUAUAUAUAUAUAUAUAUAUGCAUAACAUGUACAAUGUGCAGUAUCGUAAAAUACCAGCAAACGAAAAAGAAUUAAAAUGGAAAACACAAAAUUAAAUGAAAAAGAAAUCAUAAAACCAAAAAAACAUUUUAGUACCGGUUGGUGUUACCAACCGGUACUAAAGGGCUCCCGGCCCCCGAAGCUGGCUCAUGCCACGUGGUUGCCCUUUAGCACCAGUUCGUGCUGAACCGGUACUAAAGGGGGGGGCCUUUAGUGCCCACACUUUAGUGCCGGUUAUGGAACCGGCACUAAAGGGCCUUACGAACCGGUGCUAUUGCCCGGUUCUGCACUAGUGUACGGGUUCGGGAACCAUGCAGACAUGACCGAGACAAUUCUCCGGCCAAUAACCAACAGCGGGAUCUGGAUACCCAUGUUGGCUCCCACAUGUUCCACGAUGUUCUCAUCGGAUGAACCACGAUGUCGAGGAUUCAAUCAAUCCCGUAUACAAUUCCCUUUGUCUAGUGGUAUUAUACUUGCCUGAGAUUCGAUCAUCGGUAUCCGAUACCUUGUUCAAUCUCGUUACCGGCAAGUCUCUUUACUCGUUCCGUAACACAUCAUCCCGUGAUCAACUCCUUGGUCACAUUGUGCACAUUAUGAUGAUGUCCUACCGAGUGGGCCCAGAGAUACCUCUCCGUUUACACGGAGUGACAAAUCCCAGUCUCGAUUCGUGCCAACCCAAGAGACACUUUCGGAGAUACCUGUAGUGUACCUUUAUAGCCACCCAGUUACGUUGUGACGUUUGGCACACCCAAAGCACUCCUACACUAUCCGGGAGUUGCACAAUCUCAUGGUCUAAGGAAAUGAUACUUGACAUUAGAAAAGCUUUAGCAAACGAACUACACGAUCUUGUGCUAGGCUUAGGAUUGGGCCUUGUCCAUCACAUCAUUCUCCUAAUGAUGUGAUCCCGUUAUCAACGACAUCCAAUGUCCAUGGUCAGGAAACCGUAACCAUCUAUUGAUCAACGAGCUAGUCAACUAGAGGCUUACUAGGGACAUGGUGUUGUCUAUGUAUCCACACAUGUAUCUGAGUUUCCUAUCAAUACAAUUCUAGCAUGGAUAAUAAACGAUUAUCAUGAACAAUGAAAUAUAAUAAUAAUAACUAAUUUAUUAUUGCCUCUAGGGCAUAUUUCCAAGAGUCUCCCACUUGCACUAGAGUCAAUAAUCUAGUUCACAUCGCCAUGUGAUUAACACUCACAGGUCACAUCGCCAUGUGACCAACAUCCAAAGAGUUUAGUAGAGUCACUAAUCUAGUUCACAUCACUAUGUGAUUAAUACUCAAUGAGUUCUGGGUUUGAUCAUGUUAUGCUUGUGAGAGGGGUUGUACUCAACGGGUCUUGCCAUAUUCAGAUCCCUAUGUACUUCGCAAAACUUUAUGUCAUAUCAUAGAUGCUGCUACCAUGUUCCACUUGGAGCUAUUCCAAAUUGUUGCUCCAUUAUACAUAUCCGGUAUCUCUACUCAGAGCUAUCCGGAUAGGUGUUAAGCUUGCAUGGACGUAACUCUUUACGUCGAACUCUUUAUCACCUCCAUAACUGAGAAACAUUUCCUUAUUCCUCCAUGGAUAAUUUUGACCGCUAUCUGGUGAUCUACUCCUAGAUCACCUUUGUACCCUCUUGCCAGACAUGUGGCAAGGCACACAUCAGGUGCGGUACUCAGCAUGGCAUAUCGUAUAGAGCCUAUGACAAGAGCAUAGGGGACGACCUUCGUCCUUCCUCUUUCUUCUGCCGUGGUCAAUCUUUGAGUCUUACUCAACUUCACACCUUACAACUCAGGUAAGAACCCCUUCUUUGACUGAUCUAUUUUGAACUCCUUCAAAAACAUGUCAAGGUGUGUGUUCUUUGAAAGUAUCAUCAGACGUCUUGAUCUAUCUAUAGAUCUUGAUGCCCAAUAUGUUACAGCUUUAUCCAGGUCUUCCUUUGAAAAACAUUCUUCAAACAACCGUUUAUGCUUUCCAGAAAUUCUACAUUAUUUCGAAUCAGCAAUAUGUCAUCCACAUAUACUUAUCAGAAAUGUUGUAGUGCUCCCACUCACUUUCUUGUAAAUACAAGUUUCUAGCAAACAUUGUAUAAACCUAAAGCUUUGAUCACUCCAUCAAAACAUAUAUUCCGAUUCCGAGAUGCUUGCUCUAGUCCAUAGAAGGAUUGCUGGAGCCAGCAUACCUUUUAGCAUCCUUAGGAUCGUCAAAACCUUUUAUUGUAUCACAUACAACUUUUCUUACGAAAACUGGUAAGAAAACAUGUUUUGACAUCCAUCUGUAAGAUUUCAUAAUCAAAAAAUACAGCUAAUGCUAACAUGAUUCCGACGGACUUAAGCAUCGCUACGGGUGAGAAAUUUUCAUCGUAGUCAACUCCUUGAACUUGUGAAAAGACUCUUUCCCACAAGUCGAGCUUCAGAGACAGUAACAUUACCGCCCACAUCCGUCUUCUUCUUAAAGAUCCAUUUAUCUCAAUGGCUUGCCGAUCAUCGGGCAAGUCCACCAAAGUCCAUUCUUUGUUCUGAUACAUGGAUCCUGUCUCAGAUUUCAUGGCUUCUAACCAUUUGUCGGAAUACGGGCCCACCAUCGCUUCUCCAUAGCUCGUAGGUUCAUUGUUGUCUAACAACAUGAUAUUUAAGACAGGAUUACCGUACCACUCAGGAGUAGUACAUAUCCUUGUCGACCUACGAGGUUCGAUAGCAACUUGAUCCGAAGCUUCAUGAUCACUAUCAUUAACUUCCUAUUCAAUAGACGUAGGUGCCACAGAAAACAUCUUUCUGUGUUGCACCACUCUCUCGUUGAAGUAAAGGUUCGACAACCUCAUCAAGUUCUAUCUUCCUCCCACUCAAUUCUUUCGAGAGAAACUCCUUCUCGAGAAAGGACCCGUUCUUAGCGACAAACAAUUUGCCCUCGGAUCUGAGAUAGAAGGUAUACCCAACUGUCACCUUUGGGUAUCCUAUGAAGAUGCGUUUGUCCGCUUUUGGGUUCGAGCUUCUCCUGCUAAAGCCUUAAGCAUCGCAGCCCCAAACAUUAAGAAACGACAACUUUGGUUUCUUGCCAAACCAAUGUUCAUACGACGUCGUCUCAAUGGACUUAUAUGGUGUCCUAUCUAAAGUGAAUGCAGCUGUCUCUAAUGCAUAACCUCAAAAUAAUAGCGGUAGAUCGGUAAGAGACAUCAUAGAUCGCACCAUAUCUCAUAAGGUUCGAUUACAAUGUCCGGACACACCAUUACCUUGUGGUGUUCCAGGUGGCUUCAACUGCGAAACAACUCCACAAUGUCUUAAGUGAUUGCCAAACUCAUAACUCAGAAAAUCCCCUUUUGAUCAGAUCGUAGGAACAUGAUCUUCUUUGUUAUGAUGAUUCUUAACUUCACUCUGAAAUCGCUUGAACUCUUCAAACGUUUCAGACUUGUGCUUCAUUAGGUAGAUAUACCUAUAUCUACCCAAAUCUUCAGUGAAGAUGAGAAAAUAGCGGUAUCCACCGCACGCUUCAAUUCUCAUUGGAUCACACACAUCAGCAUACAUGAUUUCCAACAAGUCACUUGCCCGUUUCAUUGUACCUGAAAACGGGGUCUUAGUCAUCCUGCCCAUGACGCAUGGCUCGCAUGUGUCAAGUGAUUCAAAAUCAAGUGACUCCAAACAUCCAUCGACAUGGAGUUUCUUCAUGCAUCUUACGCCAAUAUGACCUAAGCGGCAGUGCCACGAGAAAGUGGUACUAUCAUUAUUAACUCUACAUCUUUUGGCGUGAACAUGUGUAUUACCACGACCGAGAUUCAAUGAACCAUUCACAUAGGGUGCAUGGCCAUGAAAGGUAUCAUUCAUGUAAACAGAAUAAUCAUUAUUCUCUAACUUAAAUGAACGACCGUAUUGCAAUGAACAUGAUCUAAUCAUAUUCAUGCUCAACGUAGACACCUGAUAACAUUUAUCUAGGCUCAAUACUAAUCCCGAAGGCAGAUGGAGCAUGCGAUGGUGAUCUCAUUAACUUUGGAAACACUUCCAAUACACAUCGUCACCUCGCCCUUAGCCAGUCUUCGUUUAGUCCGUAGCUUUUGCUUCAAGUCACCAAUAAUGGCAACUGAACCGGUAUCCAAUACCCAGGUGCUACCAGGAGUACUAGUAAGGUACACAUUAAUAACACGUAUAUACUUUGUUGAAGUUGCCAGCCUCCUUAUCUACCAUGCAUUUGGGGUAAUUCCGCUACCAGUGACCGUCCCCUUUACAAUAGAAGCACUUAGUCUCGGGUUUGGGUUCAACCUUGUGUUCCUUCACUGGAGCGGCAACUGGUUUGCCAUCCAUGAAGUUUCCCUUCUAGCCCUUGCCCUUCUUGAAACCAGUGGUCUUGUCAAACCAUCAACACUUGAUGCUCCUUCUUGAUUUCUACCUUUUGCGGUCUUAAGCACCGUGAAUAGCUCCGGGAUCAACUCCAUCCCUUGCAUGUCAUAGUUCAUCACGAAGAUCUAGUAGCUUAGUGAUAGUGGCUAGAGAACUCUAUCAAUCACUAUCUUAUCUGUAAGUUUAACUCCCACCUGAUUUAAGUGAUUGUAGCACCCAGACAUUCUGAGCACAUGCUCACUAACUGAGCUAUUCUCCUCCAUCUUGUUGGCAAAAGAACUUGUCAGAGGUCUCACACCUCUCAACACGGGCAUGAGCCUGAAAUCCCAAUUUCAGCUCUUGGAACAUCUCAUAUGUUCUAUGGCGUUCAAAACGUCAUUGGAAUCCCGAUUCUAAGCCAUAAAGUAUGGUGCACUAAACUAUCAAGUAGUCAUCAGGAUGUGUCUGUCAGGUGUUCUCAACAUCCACAGACGACGUUGUAGAGGUUUGCACAUCGAGCGGUGCAUCAAAGACGUAAGCCUUUUGUGUAGCAGUGAGGACACUCCUCGGACUACGGACCUAGUCCGCAUCAUUGCUUACAAUAUCUUUCAGCUUAAUCUUUCUCUAGGAACGUAUUGAAACAGGGAGCUACAACGUGAGCUAUUUAUCUACAAUAUAUUUGUAAAGAAAAUUUAGAGUAUGUUCAUGAUAAUUGAGUUCAUCUAAUCAAAUUAUUUAAUGAACUCCCACUCAGAUAGACAUCCCUCUAGUCAUCUAAGUGAAACAUGAUCCGAAUCGACUAGGCCGUGUCCGAUCAUCACGUGAGACGGACUAGUCAUCAACGGUGAACAUCUCAUGUUGAUCGUAUCUUCUAUACGACUCAUGUUCGACCUUUCGGUCUUCCAUGUUCCGAGGCCAUGUCUGUACAUGCUAGGCUCGUCAAGUCAACUUAAGCGUAUUGCGUGUGUAAAUCUGGCUUACACCCGUUGUAUUCGAACGUUAGAAUCUAUCACACCCGAUCAUCACGUGGUGCUUCGAAACGACGAACCUUCGCAAUGGUGCACAGUUAGGGGGAACACUUUCUUGAAAUUAUUGCGAGGGAUCAUCUUAUUUAAGCUACCGUCGUUCUAAGCAAAUAAGAUGUAAAACAUGAUAAACAUCACAUGCAAUCAAAUAGUGACAUGAUAUGGCCAAUAUCAUUUUGCUCCUUUUGAUCUCCAUCUUCGGGGCUCCAUGAUCAUCGUUGUCACCGGCAUGACACCAUGAUCUCCAUCAUCAUGAUCUCCAUCAUCGUGUCUUUUUGAAGUUGUCUCGUCAUCUAUUACUUCUACUACUAUGGCUAACGCUUUAGCUAUAAAGUAAAGUAAUUACAUGACGUUUAUGUUGACACGCAGGUCAUAAAUAAAUUAAGACAACUCCUAUGGCUCCUGCCGGUUGUCAUACUCAUCGACAUGCAAGUCGUGAUUCCUAUUACAAGAACAUGAUCAAUCUCAUACAUCACAUAUAUCAUUCAUCACAUCCUUUUGGCCAUAUCACAUCACAAGGCAUAUGCUGCAAAAACAAGUUAGACGUCCUCUAAUUGUUGUUGCAAGUUUCUACGUGGUUGCUAUAGGUUUUUAGCAAGAACGUUUCUUACCUACGCGAAAACUACAACGUGAUAUGCCAAUUUCUAUUUACCCUUCAUAAGGACCCUUUUCAUCGAAUCCGAUCCGACUAAAGUGGGAGAGACAGACACCCGCUAGCCACCUUAUGCAACUAGUGCAUGUCAGUCGGUGGAACCAGUCUCACGUAAGAAUACGUGUAAGGUCGGUCCGGGCCGCUUCAUCCCACGAUGCCGCCGAAUCAAGAUAAGACUAGUAACGGCAAGUAAAUUGACAAUAUUGACGUCCACAACUGCUUUGUGUCCUACUCGUGCAUAGAAACUACGCAUAGACCUAGCUCAUGAUACCACUGUUGGGGAUCGUAGCAGAAAUUUAAAAUUUUCUACGCAUCACCAAGAUCAAUCUAUGGAGUAAUCUAGCAACAAGAGGAAGGAGAGUGCAUCUACAUACCCUUGUAGAUCGCUAUGCGGAAGCGUUCAAGUGAACGGGGUUGAUGGAGCCGUACUCGUCGUGAUCCAAAUCACCGAUGAUCCUAGCGCCGAACGGACGGCGCCUCCGCGUUCAACACACGUACGGUUGGGAGAUGUCUCCUCCUUCUUGAUCCAGCAUGGUGAGAGGAGAAGUUGAGGGAAAACUCCGACAGCACGACGGUGUGGUGGUGAUGGAGCUCGUGGUUCUCUGACAGGGCUUCACCAAGCACUAUGGAGGAGGAUGAGGUGUUGAAGGAGGAAGAGGGCUACGCCAGGGGAAGGGUGCGGCUUCCCUCUCUCUCCCUCACUAUAUAUAGGGGAAAGGGAGGAGGGGGAGGCGCCCUAGGGUUCCCUAGGGGAGGGGCGGCGGCCACAGGGGAAACCCUAGAUGGGUUUGGGCGCCCUCACCCCCUAGGGAACUUGCCCCCAAAGCCGGGAGGGGCGGCUACCCUAGGGGUGGCGCCCCCACCUCUCUUGGUUAUGUGAGAUGGGGUGGGAGGGGCGCUCAGCCCCUUAGUGGGAUGAUGUGCCCUCUCCCCUUGGCCCAUAAGGCCCCCCAACGCUUGUCGGGGCCUCCGAAACCCCUUUCGGACACGCUGGUCAUCACCUAGUACCCCCGAAACAAUUCCAGACUCCAAUACCCUUCGUCCAAUAUACCGAUCUUCACCUCCGGACCAUUCCGGAGCUCCUCGUCAUGUCCGGGAUCUCAUCCGGGACUCCGAACAAUCUUCGGUAACCACAUACUAUUUCCCAUAACAACUCUAGCGUCACCGAACCUUAAGUGUGUAGAUCCUACGGGUUCGGGAACCAUGCAGACAUGACCGAGACAAUUCUCCGGCCAAUAACCAACAGCGGGAUCUGGAUACCCAUGUUGGCUCCCACAUGUUCCACGAUGAUCUCAUCGGAUGAACCACGAUGUCGAGGAUUCAAUCAAUCCCGUAUACAAUUCCCUUUGUCCAGCGGUAUUGUACUUGCCCGUGAUUCGAUCGUCGGUAUCCGAUACCUUGUUCAAUCUCGUUACCGACAAGUCUCUUUACUCGUUCCGUAACACAUCAUCCCGUGAUCAACUCCUUGGUCACAUUGUGCACAUUAUGAUGAUGUCCUACCGAGUGGGCCCAGAGAUACCUUUCCGUUUACACGGAGUGACAAAUCCCAGUCUUGAUUCGUGCCAACCCAACAGACACUUUUGGAGAUACCUGUAGUGUAUCUUUAUAGCCACCCAGUUACGUUGUGACGUUUGGCACACCCAAAGCACUCCUACGGUAUCCGGGAGUUGCACAAUCUCAUGGUCUAAGGAAAUGAUACUUGACAUUAGAAAAGCUUUAGCAAACGAACUACAGGAUCUUGUGCUAGGCUUAGGAUUGGGUCUUGUCCAUCACAUCAUUCUCCUAAUGAUGUGAUCCCGUUAUCAACGACAUUCAAUAUCCAUGGUGAGGAAACCGUAACCAUCUAUUGAUCAACGAGCUAGUCAACUAGAGGUUUACUAGGUACAUGGUGUUGUCUAUGUAUCCACACAUGUAUCUGAGUUUCCUAUCAAUACAAUUCUAGCAUGGAUAAUAAACGAUUAUCAUGAACAAUGAAAUAUAAUAAUAAUAACUAAUUUAUUAUUGCAUCUAGGGCAUAUUUCCAACAACUUUAAUUCAGCUGGAUGCUACUACUUCUGAUUAUUUUAACAUAAUCCAAAGUUGGGCAGAGCAUGCAUACUCGGGUACACCAACAUGUAUACAUCUUUAAAACUAAUUAAUUUGAUUGGAUACACCAACAUGUAUAAUCCUUAAAUUAUUGAUUUCUUUCUUAAGGUAUUCUUUUUCGGACAUCCUUUCUUAAGGUAUUACUAACUCCUCUAUUCACGUACCUAAAGGAUUUUUUUUGUUGUUGAGAUUUUCUGGGAUUUACAAGCGAGUUCUAUUGGCUUGCUGUUUGUAAUUCUUGGGUAACUGAGUUGUACGCUCCUUGGGUGGACAUGUCGAUUCAUCCUGAGAUUUUUUUUAUCAAACUGAGUGGUAUGAUAAGGAGUCUUUAACGCUCCUUGGGUACACAUGGAAGGUUUAAUGUAGAAUUAUCAAGCUAAUGUUGUCCUAGGGAAAUAUGAUUAUUCAGAUUUUGCUUUCAUGGUAUAGGUAUUUAUGCAGUCACUUAAUCAUGCAACUUUUACCAAAAUAAUAUACCAAAGUGUUGUCACAUGACCAUGCUUCUUAUUCCAGUAUGAUUUGACAGAGGCGAGCAUUUUAAAUUUUCUUGGUUAGAUUUAAAAUAUGGUCUGAAUUUCGGACUGCAGUACAAUAUGCUGCUGAUUAGGCAAUCCUGAGUAUAUGCUAAGUAGCAUGACCUUGAAGUCAUCAGUGAAGUCUCUCUUUUUGUGAUGUGUGAUUGUUAGGAUUUCAGCAAGGUGCCAAACUACUAAUACGCGUUCGUGUCUUUUGCAACUUUUGUGGAUACACAUUUAUUUCUUUGUUUGUUACCAAGAAAAUGCGUAUAUGGCGGACAAAAUAACUGAGGUUCUAACUAUACGCCAGUGGCACGGUACUGUUACUUAGGAAUGGACGGAGUACAAUUUUUUAAUAUAGAUUGAGUAAGUACAAUUCAAUUUCCAAUUGCUUGAUAUAUUUUCUUUGUUUGUUUUCAAUAAAACUAAUCAUGUUUCACUUUUACACAACACACUCACAUGGAUUUGAGAUGGGGAUUCAUUUCUUCUUUGAAGAGCGGUGCCUCUUAGUAACUGUUCAACUUUCCAUAAUAAAUAGUAGUAAGUGUUCAUAUUUAAUUCGUUAGAAACAUCCACCCGAUUCGUAUGCAAUGAAGCCAAUGAACGCACGCAUGCAAUAGGCGACAAGGAGACAGAGAGUGGGCGGCAGGGAGGCAGAUCAAAUGCAUGUAGACACGCACGAAACCCAUGCAAGAAAGUCAGCGAGAUAGGGAUGGCCCACAUGCACUUCAGAUAAGUACGCAAAAUAGCUACACGUACACGCGGAAGCAGAAAACGCGUUAACAAAAUUUACGAUCAGACGGCUAGAGUCACACAGGAUUCUACCCGACAGGGUCCCAAACUAACAGUAAGUUUUCGUAUUUAAUCAGUUCACUUUUGACAGAGAACAUGUCAUAUUUUGGUAUGGCUGCCCAUUCUCUCAUGCAUAUCUUGGACCGGCAUUGUGGUACAAAACAGACCAUGUUCAUUGAGUUUAAAAUAGACAAGAUUAAUAGGUAGACGAGUGGAUCAAACACCACCGUCAAUGAUUAUAACUAUGAUGAUGCACUUGAACUGACCAAAUAGUCUACUUUCUCCACAAGAGAAGGCACGCACCAAGCAAUGCUAGUUCAACAUGGCCCGCAAGCAGGUAACUAACCGCCCGACAAAAUGAGUUUAUGAGGCAUACUAAAACAUAUGGGACAAUUUCUUCGAUUGUAAUUUUUUUGCUAUACGUGUACACUUGGAGUACAUGUACAGAAGAUCCAAUCGUCACCUAUACCGGCGCAAAGCCACCCAUCGGUCACAUGCAACAAUUUGCAAAGGCUCUUUACCACUUCUUCACGGCAGCAACCAUGCAGUGAGCUCCAACAGAAUGAUGUGGACAGGAAAACGCAUUGUGUUUAAUCUUAAUAGAAAUGUAUCAACAUGUGUUUCAUGUUCCCGAAUAUGCACCACACAUGGUAAUAAUAACGUAUCAUUUUCAGUUUGCUUCUAAGCAUGGUUUCCUUUUUAUGAUUACAACCUCGUCCAUGUAGUUCUUUCACUUCAAAUUGAAACUCACUAACUCACUGCAUACAACAACGAACAUGUACAAACAUCACAUAUCGAUGGGCGCGGCGUGCCGCCGCGCGGGCAUUGCUAGUAUAAUACGAUAAGAUAGACGUCUACUCCCUCCAUAAAGAAAUAUAAAAGUGUAUAAAAUAAAUAAAAUAUGAAAAUGCUUCAUCUUCAUGUAAAGGCUCUUCCACAGUGCUUCGCCGCCUGCAAUCAUGACGAAUGUAAUGCAAGGGAGGAGGAUGGGGAGCGACUUGUGUUGUGGCAUGCAAUUAGUCAGGUGUGCCGCCUUUAAAUAGCGGGUUCCGGUGAGGCCAAGCAUCCAGGUGCAUCAAUAUACGGCGCCGGACUGGGCUGAUUUCUCGGCCGUCGAGCCUGCUUAAUGGCGGCAUAUGGACGAACGAGACAUUCAACGGACGUGGUAGAUAUCCAUCCCAUCGAGUAACGGGUCUCCGACAUUGAGGCACGGACACCGGGAACGUGUUGCGAGUGACGCCCUCGGCCGGCGCGCUGCUUCAAUGGAGGAGACAAUAAGAGGUCACAUCUGCCCUAAGACGUCUUCAAUAUGGAGUGGCGCGCUCUAUAGCGGCAUGAAUGCGGCGCAGCUGACACCGGGCGGGAAUGUGCGCGGGCGAGGGGGGAUGGGGGUUGGGUAGGCCAUGGUGGUCAAAAAAGGGUGUGGUUGCUGUCCGGACGUCCGCAAAGCCCCCACGUUUGUCUCCGGUUUACAGGAGAAAUUACGUACGCACCGCGGCCUGCGUUAGAUGGCUUCCACGGUCCGGACAGACGCGGGUUGUUUGAGAGCCCGCGUUAAAGAUACCCUAAGCAUAUUAAGUUUUAUUGGGGUUGCUUUUCUACUGAAUAUGAUGGAUAAAAUCAAACGCAAUGAUGGCAUCCUUUUAGAAGUCAUAUAUUCCGUAUAAUAACAUCAAUUCUUAAAGAUUUUAAUCCGUCAACAUCAGUCGAAGUCAGAUGUAGGUAAUUAGUUAUAUAUGACGCACAUUGUUUUAUCCAUAUCGAUAGCGAUCGAUAGACCUAAGGGCAUCUCCAGCCGUUCGGCCCCCCAGGGCGCCUAAAUAGAGCGGCCUGGGGGCGUGCCGGCGCUAGUUCGGCCCCUGGGGGCGACCUAGCUCCCAGUCACGACCCCAAGCGCCGGCCCCAGGAUGCGGGAAAUUUAAACUUGGUCGUUCCCGCUCUCAAACGAUGUCACAAAUCCGGCGAUCGGACGUAGUCUGGCGUUACAAAAAACAGAGUGCCACACGCCGCAGGUUCGCGUGCGCAAUGAUUCACUCGGCGGGGUCGGCUCCAGGCGUUGGUGGAGUCGGCGUGCGCGGGCUCGGCGGUGUCGGAGCUGCUUCGGUGCUGGGCUGUGUCGGCGCGGCUUCGGCACUGCUGGGCGGCGAUGUAGAGGCGUCGUUCGGGCUUGGCGUCCAUGUGGUCGUGGGCGCGGGAGCUUGCGUCGUCGGCGUCGUCGGCAUUGCCGUCUGCAUCUGGUUCAGGAUGAGGCCGCGCUCCGCCAUGUACCACGCCCUGAGCUGCUCGUCGUUGCUCUGGAGCAUGUCCGCCCCGCCCAUCAGAAAAGCCAUGUCGGUGUUCGUCUUCUUCGCGGCGACGUUCGUCCGGAGCAGGUCGAGCUUGAUGGCGUUGUUCUUCAUCAGCGACGACCAUCGCGCCUCGGUCUUCUCUUCACGUAGGACGGCCCGGGCCUGGGCGUCGGCGAGGCAAUGCUCGAUGGACUCCUGCACUCGCGUGGUUGCUGCGUCGGCGUUUUUCCCCUUCUUUGCCAAUUUGUGACCGUUCGGCCGCCCCUCUGACGUGCCCGGAGUCGUCGUGUCCGGCUUGUAUGUCUCCUUGGCCUUGUCGAGGGUACGUCGGACUUCCGCCCACUUCUCGCACUUGUCAAUGCGCUUGUAGACGUGGAGGUGCUUGAAGUCGGCGUCUUGGUUGUCGCGCCGAUACAUGGUGAACAUACGUAGCAGCUGCGCGGAGGAACAAAUAGUUGGCGGGCGGUGGGCGUUGACGACGAAGAGAUGCGGGUGGAUUCAUCAUCCCCGCGUGGUCGAGCGAUGAGGAAGACGCCGCCGCACGCGCUGCGUUGUCGCUGGCCUUCUUGGCAAUGGCCCUGUUCCGCCGGUCGGUGGUGACUGCGUCGCGUCGCUGAACUUCCACUCUCCACUCGGCGUUCGACAUGACCGGUGGCUUCGAUGGCGGCGCCCUCGGCUUCCUCUGCUUCGGCUGGGCCAUGGUGCCAGUCAUGGUUGCUGCCGCGCGCGGCAUGGCGUACUUCUUCGGCGGCAUGGCGGCGACUGGAAGGCGAGCCAGAGGGGUUUGGCGGGAGAAAGGGAGGGAAUGGCGGGAGGAAGGCGAGCGAGCGGAGGAGAUGCGAGGGAAAAGCGUCAAGAAGCGGCGGGAAAAGGCCCUCGGGUCGCCGCCAGGGCGGGCCCACACGCCUUUUUCACUUUUGCCGGCUCCCCAAGCGCCCCCCAGGGCGCCGGGUUCGGUCUGGAUCCGCCGGCACCAGUUUUGGCUCGAGCCGGCGAAAAACGGGCUUCUGGGGCGCGACUGGGCCGUUUUUUGGCGCCGGCGCGGCAAAAUCGCUUGGGGAGGGCCUGUUGGGGGCGCGGCUGGAGAUGCCCUAACAAUAUUGUGUUCCUUGUCUUUUUUAUGAAACGAUAGAACAAGAUUAUCUUGUCCAAACCAAACAUGUAUUAUUAUACAUGGAAAAUUUGUCUAGGGGAUGCUCUAAAAUAAUAUCUAUGCAAGGUGAGCUGGCAUUUAUAUAUAUAAUAUCUUCAUACUGGCAAGAAUAUAUAUACUCACAAUUGAGGAGGGUUCAACGUUAUAUUGACAAGGCCCGCCCCGUGUCGUCCUCCCCCUAGGGCGACUCGGGCGGUCAAAAACCUAGCCGCCGCAAACUCCCUCUUCCCCUUCCUCCGCCGCCGUCGGAAGACGCCGCCGGGCUAAGCCCGGGGGCCGACGACGGUGGCGGGGGAUCUCCUUUCUCGCGUGUCUCCAGGGUGGGGCGGACCCCAAGGCAUGUGGUGGCGCGACCGAUUUGGGAUCUGCGACGCGGCAGAUGGCGGCAGGCGGUGGGAGGCCGACCCGUCCUCGGACGGCCACGGCUUGGCGCGGCGGCCCAGGGUUGCGGGCGCUGCGGAUGGCCCUUCGGGCGGCGACCGGCUUGGCCGCAGUGGCGUGCAUGCUGUUUUCAGAUCGGCGACGGCGGCGUGGAGGGCUUGGUGGUCUCGUCGGCGGCACCUCCGAUCAGAUCUAUUCUGACCGGUGCAGUCGGCGGCGGUGGUCAUCUCUUCCGUUAGAGGUGGUCGGCCUGAAGCUGGGGGUUCGGAUCUCAGGAUCCGUCAUCUGGCACCAGCUGCGAGUCGGGGAGACGUAGUUGCCGGUGAAAACCGAGCCGACGGCGGGUGAUGCGGCGUUCCACGUCGUUACCUUGAUGAAGGCAUCGUCAUGUGACUUUCGUCGACCCACUCGUAUUGCUUCGGGGGAAACCCUAGGAUCUGGUGUUCCAGACCGAACGAUGGCGGCACUGCGGUGUCGUUUCUCUCUUGGGAGCGUCGUUUUGUGGAGCAGCGCUGGAAGUCAGAGGCAGGAGGUGGAGUGGCUUCGUCUUGCACGGAGGUUCGGUGGAGAUGUCAAGUCAUGCCUGACCGACAGGUGCUACGCUUGGUCAUGCCUGGUCGGCAGGUGCUACGCACGACAGAUCCUCCAAGGGCUUCAAGCUGUGUCGGCUGGUGGUACGUGGCAGCAUGACGCUGAGGUGUAUCAGUGGCGAGCGCGACGUGUAUAGCUGUUUGCGCGCAGGGAGGAGGUGCCGUUCGGCGCCGUGGUAGCGUCGGUGAUAGCUGGACCGAGCAAGGUUGAUGCAUUAGUACAUUUCUGAAGAUAGAGCGGUGGCAGUUGGCGGCGGCGGCAUCUGAGAGCACGCCGGACCAGUGUGUGCCUCAAACCCGGCAAGUGGCUAGGUUGGGGUCUCAGGACUUAGAUGUUAGGCUUGGCUGCGAUGUCUGUUUGGCAUUAGGCCCAGACUAUCUGCGCCCCUUCAUCAACUGGAUAGAUGUAGCGACAGUUUGUUGCUUAGACGACGGCUUAAUCUAGAUGUGAAUUAGACAAACUGCUUUUUCUAGGCCAACGAUUCUGAUUCUUCUUUGAGCAGAGUUCCCCCGAGAUUUGCGGCAUCAAAGGUGGCUUUCCCAAUUACAACUUCAUUGCAUUAGAGAAGUACACCUAGCACGUACGUUACAUUACAUUACUGUGAUCUCCAGGUUCAGUCAGCGGUCUUCUUGUAGAUAUACCACCGUGCGACGAGCAGGUACGCGCCGAAGUUGCCGAUGCAGAGCAUGGCGAGCAGCCAGAAAAAGUAGUCCAGAUGGCCGUCGUUGAUAUCGUCGGGGAUCCACCCGGGCC